GUCUUGUGACCCCCCAGUUGAUAAGCAAUGUCAAGAACCACCACUGUUUCACUGCGUCAAAUUAUCAUUUUGUAGGCCGUAUAUAGAAGAACUAGAGUUGAAGCUUCCUGAGUAUACCAAAAGAUGUCAAAUCAACAACAGAUGGUUCAGGAGGUAGCCUCAAAGGUAUAAAUUCAGCACUGGAUCCUACUUCCGUAUUCGUACAUUUCUAUCUAAAAUUCCCAUGAAUAUCAUGUUAGUUGGUUUGUUCAUUGUACACUGCAGUAUACUAUUUGCGAGUUUCUGUUAACAGUUAGCCUCUGGAUCCCAGUAUGACAAUAAUUCAAACAGACACCAUGAAUGCCUUUACUAAAAGUGAGAAUUCGAUCCUCCAUUAAUCAUGAAUGCCCUUACUAAAAUUGAAUGCAUAUUUUUUUUGGCUUGGUGGAGGCGUGGAGUGUCUGCAUCGAUGCACCACACUCGAAUUAGGGGUCGACCACACUGAGAUGGCCAAAAUGGAGGCGUUGAUUCGUUAGGUUUGGCUCAGCUUCUUCAUUGGGAAUGACUUGACUGAUCUGGAACUUUUUUUUUGGCCUAACAAAUAUCGCAAAUGUUCUCCAGUUAGCCACCUCACUCGCCUUUUACUCCCUGCAAUCAAGACCCCAAGACACUGGUAUCUCUGUCCCCAUAAGUUGAUCCACCCACUUCUUCCCCCUGACAGAUUAACCUACCAUCUCAUCAAUUCGGUUCUCUAUUUUGAGCAUAUGUGACAUGUUCUGCAGGGCAUUCAGUUUUGAUUUUUAUUUGCAAGGAUUCAGUUUUUGAUUUUAGUUUGUGGGGUUAAUUUCCUGCUGUGAAAAACUGAUAUUCUUGUGUGGGGUAUUCAGCUCUUGGCUUGCAAGGACUCAGUUUAUGUACUUCUGCUCCUAGAGAGGGUGCAUCAAGCAUUGGAAUGCUGCAUGUAUCAAUUCGGUUCUCUAUUUUGAGCAUAUGUGAUAUGUUCUGCAUGGCAUUCAGUUUUGAUUUUUAUUUGCAAGGAUUCAAUUUUUUAUUUUAGUUUGUGGGGUUAAUUUCCUGCUGUGAAAAACUGAUAUUCUUGUGUGGGGGAUUCAGAUCUUGGCUUGCAAGGACUCAGUUUAUGUACUGCUGCUCCUAGAGAGGGCGCAUCAAGCAUUGGAAUGCUGCAUGUAGAAACCUUGAUAAUUUCUUUUGUACUUAUUAUUUUCUCUGAGAUAGGACGUUGAAUCUACAUAUGUUUAUGACAUUGUUUUCUUAGAUAAAGGAAAGUUAAGUAUUCUAAAGAAGAUGAAAUAUUUGAAUAUAGAUGUGACCUUAAUUUUUUUUUUACAUUAUAACCUCAGAUCAGUUGAUUGAAUUACAAGGUGCAGGUGAUCAAGUUAAUGCUCCUGUAGCGUUGGCUUCUGGAUACCGCGUGAAGCACGUUCAAGAUUAGAUAGUAAUUUGCAUGGUAUCUCAUAUUUUCGUCAGGAAAUGCGCUAUUGUUAACACAACCGUGCCAGUAUCAAGAUGAUGCACUAGAUGUGUCAAAUGCUUCUAUGUGUCAAGUAUGUAUCGGACAAAAUUCUCCCAAGAUGAAGGCAUUGCCUUUAGGAGCACUAUGUCCAAUGCACAUUAAAAUUGAACCGAUUGUGAUCAGUAUAGAUUGGUGAAUUGUUCCGUGGCACCACAAGGUUAUAAUUGUCAUUGGUCUAUGUGUUAAGAUUGAUGUUGAUUCGUGAAUCGAGCGUUAUUCUCAUGCAUGUAUGACAUGAACUUGUUCUAAAAUCAUAUACUCCCUCUGAACCAUAUUAGUUGUUGCUCAUAUGGAUGUAUCAAGCACUGAAAUGUCUCUAGAUACAUCUGUUUGAGCGACAAGUAAUAUGGAUUGGAGGGAGUACUAUAUGAUACUUUUCCCAUGUUUAUUUUUGGAAACAUUUGUGGUUCAUCAUGUAAGAACCAUGAACAAUCAUAUUAUUAUUUAACUUUUUUUCAUUGCUUUUCAUGACAUUGCUUGUGCCUUGCGACAGUGUAUGGCCCUUUAUCAAUUAUAACUCUGAUAAAGUUUACCUUGGCACUCAUUUAGUAUGUUCCUAUUUUUCCUUUUUGUACCUUUUCUUUCUCUACCAUGUUCAUUUGUACAAUGCUUAAUCGCAUCAUAAGUCCUAUGAAGUUUGCAUUAGAUAAUAGAAACAUUAUGGAAUAUUUUGUUCCAUUUUUAGUAUACGCACAGUAAAUAUCAUGUAUGUUCUCUAUGGAAAGUUCACCCCCUUGAUUGCCUUUGAUGUGUGAAUUUUGCUAAUUAUGAACAGGGAAAUUCCUAUGUACAGUUAUUCGUGCGUUGCACGUGCACGCUUACUAAUACGUAGUAUACAUGUGUAUAUGUGUUCAUGAAUAAAUUUGAAAUUUUCGCGAUCAGGAAAAAUGAAAUAUAAAAAUGAGCUCCCUGGAGCUCGGCCUCCGUUGGCAUUUUCUGAUAUAUGACAAUUAGCACAACUAGAUUACUUAUUAAGAGCAGCAAGUUAUUUUCUUUGAUGUAUAUGACAAUAUAAAUUGAAGACUAACCUUGUGCCUUAGGUUUAUAUAAGAGUUCACAUGAAUUGCAGUUCUCUUAAUGGAGUACUAGUAUGUAGAGGUGACGUACAGUUCACAUUCAUCUCUUGCAGUUCGUUUUGUUUAUUUGGAGCAGCCAAUGUUGCAGUUCACAGAGCAGCAAAUGCCCACCGAGCAGAGAUAUUACAUGUCGUAUGGUGUAUGACUGAUUCUACACCAAGAUAAUAUGAACUUACUACUAUAUUUUUGUGCAGAUGAUCAAUGACAAGAGUUCGAGGUCUCAGAUGAUUGGAGCCCAUUUUACCUUAGGCAUAAGAGCCACUUCCUUGCCAUCACUGAUGGCAAUCACGAUUACUCGGCCCCUAAGCUGGCUUGCCUCUCAUCCUCAGAAUAGUCGCAGAAGUUGUUUGUGGUCGCCCCACCCGAAAACACAUUAAGCUUAUCAACCAUCUUGGCACAGUCCUUGAAUAGCUCAUAGCGCCGCGCCUUCUCCUCAUCAUCCUUGUAGGUGCGACGGUACUUGGCCAUCCACUCCUCGAACCUCUUCUUCAUGGCUUCCUCCUUGUAUGUGCGGUGAUACCUAGCCAUCCACUCAUCAUACCUCUUCUUGAAGGCUCCCCCCUUCAGGGCCUCCUCCAGAACAAGAUUGCGACCUGAGAUAAAGGGUGAGACAAGGUUCAUGAUGAGGAUCAACUAACAAGGCCACAGAUCCAGGGGCUGGUCACUUUAAUACCAACAUUUGCCUUUCCAAAUUUCAGCAAGCCAAAGUUGGGGCUUGGAAACAUAUUGCCAGCUAAAUUUAUGAUUAGUAUUUUGACAACUACUAAUAUAAUUUGACAAGUGACAUAGCCACCUAGGCAUGCCAGUUUCUGUUCGCAUGCCAAAUAUUGGCAAGGCAACGAUUUGGUAGGGGACUGAUCAGGCCCCCAAAUGUAGAUGUGUUUCAUGCCUACUGGCCCCUCCGCAUCCCCGUUUUGAUACGAUACCAUAUUACUAAUAGGUGCAGUAAUUUGCUAAAAACUUCCAAAUGUGCAGCUAUGUUUUUGUUUAAAAAACAGAGAUUUUAAUUCCAAGUAGAGUCCAAUGGAAAAAUCUACGUGAAUAGAAUUCUAAUUCUAUUGACUUAAUCCGAUUAAUUGAAUUAAACUCUAUCCUCUGAAGCCAAACAGUUCAUCCAACAUCUUACUCCUCCCUAUAUGGCGAGACACUCAAACUCUUUUACAUGGCAAGACUCACUCUCUUAUAAACAAUAGCGUUGAGACUAUACUAGCCCACUAUUUGAUUCAAAAUUUCGCUUAUAGUAGUUUAAUAUUGGUCUAGAGAAACAAAUUACUAAAUCAUAUGCGAGCAUAUUACAUCAGAAUUUCAAUUCAAUUACUCAACCUAGAUACAUCCAAUAUGUAUAGGCUUAGGUUUGAAGAUUUUAAAUUACAUUUGUCCAUCUGCACGGCCAUAAAAAUAAAGGCACGUGCAUGGCUAAUAAUAAAGUUCAUAACAGUAAAUAGCCACAAUCAACACCACACAACUACUAUGUAUUUUCCUACUUGCCUACCAAGUUGCCCUUGCCACGGCCCAUUUGAUCUCUUGCAAGGUACAUCAAAAUUUUGGUAUAUAUGGCUUGCUAGUCAUUCCUGCAUGCAUAUCUUUACUACUAGAGCGGAUACAUUUUCUAGUUUAUGUCCCGGUGAUCCAUUUAAGAAUCCAAUUAAUCGGUCAGUGCUCAACACUUGCAAACAAACUAAUUUGAAGAAUACCGAGCUUGAGGAACAGGGCCAGUAAGCUAACCAUCAUGAACGUAGAAAGAAACAGUUUUAGGUGCUCCAUAUGGACUAUGGAAACAAAACUUGUACGUUCCACCCCUUGGAGCAUUAAACUCGAAUUUAUCACCAGAUUUUCCCUUCAACGUAUAUACAGUGUUACCGCCUCGUGAAGUUACCUAUGUUCACAAACAGUAUUAUCAAACAUGAGCAAGGUGGUCCAUGGAUCAAUUGCUAAAUGAAAGAAAUAGAGAGAAGUGCAUAUUUCAACCCCGAACUUUUGCCCUAGUCUAAUUUACAACCCCGAACUCCAAUACCGUCUAAACUACAACCCCAAACUCUCAAAACCGGUCAGGAUUCAACCUUUAAAACCGGUCAACUUGGUCAAAACUGGUCGAGAGGUAGAGAAAGGAUGAAUCCUGACCGGUUUUGAGAGUUGGGGGUUGUAGUUUAGACGUUAUUGAAGUUCGGGGUUGUAAAUUAGACUAGGGCAAGAUUUCAGGGUUGAAAUAUGCACUUCUCUCAAAGAAAUAAGGUAUGCUAGUUGUAUCAAUUUCUCUAUCUAGAGCGAGAAAGUGAGAAUGCAGAAACUCAAUUGUGAAAGGGGCAAACAAAAUGUGUGCUCAAGUGAACUUAAGGAUCCCGAUCUGAUAACGGAACUCCAGAAGAAGCUCUUCAUCAAAGCAUAUACUUUUAUGAAGCAACAAUUUCCAUGAAAUCAGUAGUGUUGUCAAUCACUAGAAUCUGAAUCAUCCAUGGACUGCACUCACAAUACACGCAUGCCAAGCCACAGAUACCAAAGGAGCACCCGAAAUUUCCCUCAGUGGUCUGGAUUUUGCACGAGAGCACCAACGAAUCAACACUCCCCUAUAUUAAAUUAAUAUACAGUACAAGUUACGCACUAGAACUAAACAAAAAUAAUGCACGUUACUAAUCGCCAAAUCGGCAAGCCGCAGCGCAGAUCCCCGGGAUUCGAUGCGGGACCAAUUUCAAGCCGACAGCCCCCACAGAUCCGUACCAAAACAACCCAUAAUCGACUCAAAUCAACCAGAUCCUCGCAUCCAAAUCAAAUCAAAUCCGCAGGAAGAAUGCGAUGAGGGGGAGGGAGAUGAAUCGGGCGAGUACCGUGAAGUCGAUGCCGGGGUCUGGGGGGGAUUUGAUGAUAACCCCCCCAGUUCAUGUCACUUUGAUCAUAACCCCCCCUUUGUGUCACUGACAUGCCCACAUGUCAGUGACACAAAGGGGGGUUAUGAUCAAAGUGACAUGAACUGGGGGGUUAUCAUCAAUUAUUCCGGGUCUGGGCAGUCGGAGCUCCAGAAGAUGUCAUGGUCAACGACGACGAAAUUCCCCGACGUGAAGCCACCCUCGUAGGGCACCAGCUCAUGGAUGCACUCGCCGGUUUCGGUGCCCGCCGCCACCAGCGCCACUGCCAGUACCAGCAGCAUCGCCGGCGGCCACCUCGCCAUGGCGGCUGGCGCGACCGUGGAGACCAGGUCUGGAUUUCGGGCUGGGCGGGCGAGGCGGUGAGUUUCGCUUGGGUUCGGGAGGAGAGAGACUGAGGGCGACUGGGAGUCUGGAACGAUCUCCUCUGCUAGACCUGUAGACAUCACAGUCACAGGAGAGUCAACCGGGGCAGUCGGGUCGAGGUCGCCCAAAUCCAUGACCGAUAAUUAAUGGCCAGCGCUGGGCGCCGGUGCGCCCGCCCAAACGUUUCGGCCGGUCCUCGUGCAGCCGCACAAUUAGUGUUUCCAGAACCGCACGAUUCAGCGAGCUAUCCCACGCACGUCUGCUUCUUCCUCGCUUCAGAUCUACCAUAUCCUCUGCGGUGGUUUGCGCAUAGCCCCCACCCCGCCGCUCAUUGGCUCACCGCCACCGCUCGGCGGCUCACCGCGGCUGCCCGCCGGCUCACAGGAUGAAGCACGCUGUGGCCGCUCGCCUCGCUGGACAACUGCAAAAAAUCUCUGUUUUGGCAGGUUCCAGCAAAAUCAAUUGCUGUUUCCAGCAGAAAAACACAAAGGCUGCAGAAAAGGAAAAAAAAUGAACACAGUCUUCUCCGUCGCCACCCAGCACCUUCUCGUUGGUUGAAGCAAAUCCUCUGGCCGGUUCAGCAAAAAGAAAUACUGUUUCCAGCAAAAAACAAGAAAGAAUACUGCAAAAAAAUCAGCGCGGGCACCACCUCGCCUGUGGAAGCAAUCCCAUGAGCCAGCUCCAGCAAAGAAAAAUGCAAGUUCCAGCAAAAAUCAAUUACAACAAAAACACUUCCGUCCCGACAAAAAAUUUAACAUGCAGGUUCCAGCAAAAAAUGCUACUAGUAGAAGCAAAAACUACCAAUGGUUCCAGCAUCCCCGUUGCCCGGUUCCAGCACGGUCACCAUCCCCGCUGCCCGGUUCCAGGAAAACAACCAUAGAAGCAAAAAUCAGAAGAAAAAAAUCUGCUUGUAGCAAAGGAAUAGCCGGUUGUAGCAAAAUUUGACACUAGUUCCAGCAAAAUAAACAUAGCAGCAAAAAUCCCCAAAGUCUGAUUGUAGCAAAAUAACUAGCCGGUUCCAGCAAACAUUUAUGCUGGUUCCAGCAAAAACCACAUCGCCGGUGAGCGCGCUACACCUCCAACUCCAAUGGGCACGUCGUCUUGCCGGUUGCAGCAACCGCAGAGCCGGUUCGAGCAAAAAUCCUGGCCGGUCGUUGCAAAACAAUGAUGCCAGUUUCUGGCAAAAACAAAGUGAUUGGGGGGUGGAAUAGAACAAUUCAAAAAAGAUGCGACCAGCUAGUGAAAAAGCUACAUCCGUCAAUCCAAAAAGCUACAACCGGCAUCGCUGCACAAAAGCAACAGGGCAUCGUCGGCGUCUCUCCCCGACUGCACAACCACCGCAGGAAGCAGCACACGUCCCCGUUGCAGGCGUCCCCCUUGCAGGACCUUGAUGUUGCGGCGAGGCGGGGGUUGGGGAGGUGCGGAGGGAGAAAGAGGAUAGGCUGCCGUAGGUUCAUGGCGCGGCGGCCGGCUUGUCUUCGCAAAUGGUAAGGGGCAGCAGGGGGAGAGGAAGGUGGAAGACGCAGUCAUGUGUGGUUGGGCGUUGAAGAUGACGGGAGAGAUGAGGAUAAGAUCGCUGAGCGGUGCUUGGUCCCACACAGGCACGUGGGGCGCAACCGACCGAUCUACCUGUUGGAAACGUAUGAUGUGGGCAAUCGAACGAGCCGCGUGCGACCGGCCGAGCGUUCGGCUGGCGCCCCGGCCCCAAACGUUCCCAUAAUUAAUGGGUCUUUUUUUGUGCUGACAAUUAAAUGGGUCUAUAGAAGAGAGGGGCAUACAAUACGGACAAAAUUAGAAAGAAAAUAAACCAAGAUUUAUUUGCACUGGUAUGCUGGCAGGAUGUUUUACGUGUUGUUAAUGAAGCAAGUGAAAACUGAUGCGUUGGUUCUAUGAGGCAUUAGCACAACGACUACCCGAUUAUCUACUAUAAUAAGUUGUGCUCGGCUCCGGCGAGGGAGGGGCGAUAAGGGCGGCGCGCUUUCAGCUCGCUUCAAUACUUGUAGUUAUCGCUAGGUGGUCUAUGAAUCUGGAUAUAAUUUAUUUCUGGUGCUCAUUAUACUGCCCUGAUUGAAGAUGAAUAGAAUGAAUAUUUCUCUAAAAAAUGAAAAUCAUAUAAAAUCAAGCCGUGCAUUUUUGUUUCAAAUCCAUGGUAAUUUUAUUUUAUUAAUAUUUUUCCUGACACUAUUUAGUGUUAUUCGCCAUGGCUGUUUUUGGCCCAUUUUCUAUUUGUUUCGCACUCUUUUUUGUAAGGCAUGGUAGUGGGAGCUCCUAAUCAGCACCGGCCCACGAAACGGACCGCCACAAAAUGGUGCAUUACUCCCUCCGUAAAUGAUUCUGAAAAAAAAAAUACUCUCUCCAUAAACUAAUAUAUAAGAGCGCUCACAUGAAGUAUCGAACCUGCGCCCUACACUACUAACACGACUUCGGCUAACCACUAGGAAGUUCAAGCCAUGGAUGUAUCAAGCCAUGGAAGUUCAUCAAUUUUAAAAAAUAGUUUUAGAAAAAUUAAAUAACGUUCAUAAAAAAUUGAAAAGAAAAUUCACCAUUUUUUAAAAAGUUUACCAAUUUGGAAAAAAACUUCAUCCAAUUAUAAAAUAAGUUCAUCUAAUUUUAGAAAAAAGAUCAUCAAUUUUAAAAAAGUUUAUCAAUUUUAGAAAAAUAUCAUCAAAUUUGGAAAAAGUUCAUUGCAUUUGAAAAAAAUGUUCAUCCAAAUAAAAAAAUCAUCAGUUGUUAAAUAUAGUUCACUAAAAUUAAAAAAAGUUAAAUGAUUUUGAAAACAAAAGUUCACGAAUUUUUUUAAAAAAACAUCAUCAAUUUGGAAAAAUUUCAUGCAUUUAAGAAAAGAAAAAAAAAUGAAAAUCGAUGAUGGAAGAAACCUGGAAGAAGAAAGAAUUGAAAAAAAAACGAAAAUGGAAAAUAGGAAAAAGAAAAAAAAAGAGAAGGAAGGAAUAAAAAAAAGGAAGAGUUCAAGCUUAGCAGAUCGUGCUCCGCGACGCGUUGGGUUUACGAACGAACCUCAAUGUGUGAGGCCGUCUGUUCGAUCGAAAUCACUAAUUAAGGAGUACUCAUUUUAAAGAUCACUCUCACCUAGCCUAGGUUGUGACAAGUGGCGCUUUGCAUGUGGGCCACUUGUUGCAAGCUGUGCGUUUUCUUUUUUUAUCGUAGAUCCGUUUAUUCAAAACAUUUUAUCUCUUAAAUGGUUUGUUCAAAUCUUGAACCGUUUUCAUCAUUGGAUUCCUCGCGUCGAAAUCUUCAAAACUAAAUUCCACGAUGAUAACGGCUGUGCCUCUCGCGAAAGCAAAACCGUGCCUCUCAUACAAGAAAAAAAACGCGUUUUUUCGUUUCCAAGAGGCACGGUUGUGCCUCUCGUGGAAGUAAAACCGUGUCUCUCACGAAAGGAAAAAAAAGAGAAGAAAACACAUUUUUUUCUGUUAAGCAAAAACGUGUCUCCCGGGGAAGAAAAACGUGUCUCACGAAAGGAAAAAACAAAAACGUGUAUUUUGACGCAAAAUUGGUUUUCCAAAUUUUUGGUGAAAAGCUAAGAAAGACUGGUGAAAACCGAAAAGUUAAAAAACUAGAAAAAAUACAUCUAAAAAGUAGAAAACGUGUGCAAACAAAUAAAAAAAAUCCAGAGGAAGCGCCCAAGAUGUGGCACGUGCCGGCAGCUGAGAGGACGUCAAGUGGCACGCUCUCAGCCCCACCACAAGUGAUCGUUGCGAGACUCUUGAAGAAGCGCUUGUUAACUAGUUUCUUCCUAUUGGAUUCGCAGCGACCACCAUUGUUUUUCUUUUUUUUUGCAUAUUAAUAUACACAAUAACGGGCGCCUGCAACGUCACAUAGAAUUUGCCCAUGGUAGUACUUUUUUGGAUCUUAAACCUGGGCCAUUUCUAGUCUGAUUUUACAAGGAGGCUACAAAAUUGACUUUCCCCGGUUAUUGGGGUCCAAUCAAAAAUAUCUGUCUACCUCAAAAAAAAUUAUGUAGGGAUGAUUAUUAUUUUCUUUAUAAAAGAAAACCAAUUAUUUUUUUAGACGGAACUCUCGAAAAUCAAAGGAUCUAGCGGUUAGCUGGAAACUAAUCCACGCCGCAAAAAUUAAAAAUGGAAACUAAUCAUUCUUUUGGCAAUUUGGCAACAAAUCCUGGAAAGAAAUAAUCAGGUGAGUAUUCCUGCCCGCCUCAGGAUUGAUUAGUGCAUGCUAUAUAUGUGUGCAAUCUUAAUUAAUAUGCCAUACUAGUACUAAAUAUUUAUAUGAUGAUCUGGCAAUAAUCCUUAAUUUUGGCAUGCAGUUAGGAAACUACUCAUGCAUGGAAACAAAUAAUCUUCUGGUGUGUGUUGUCCUGCCUAACCGAUUAAUUAGUGCAUGCAUGCUGAAGUAUAUAUAUCUACGCUCAUAAUUUGCCAUACAUACAGGCAUGAAUGCUGCCAAGCCCUAGCGAUUGAUUUGAUACGAUUGAAGUCUAUAUAAAUGAACAAUCUACUCGUUCACCUCGAUCUACAAUCCAUGACCACCACCACCAUCACCAAUUCGAUGACAACGACGACCAGCCAGCAGAGACAAGCCAUGGCGACCUGCAGCCAGCUCCUCCUCGCGCUCGUCGUCGUUGCCGCCGCCGUUGAUUGCAUGGCGGCGUUUGAUCAGGAUCACACGCCGUUCAAGCCAAUCCCGGACCUGUCCGUCCCGCGCAUCCAGGAGCUCGGCCGAUGGGCCGUGCAGCAGCACAAUGAUCAGACGGGCGACCGCCUGACGUUCACCAGAGUGAACGGCGGGCAGUUCCAGAUUGUGGCGCCGGCGCUCAACUACCUGCUUGCCAUUGACGCGACGAACGUCGACGGCACGGCCAGCACGCACUCCGCCCUGAUCUUCGUGCAGUACUGGACCAACACGCAACGGCUCGACUCUUUCAACUGAUCUAUCCAGUGACAUAUGUACCGAUCGCGCGAGGGAGGGCCUGCUGAUUGUAUUGUCUUGACGAUGCAAUAAAAACGAUCGAUUUCCAGUUUUGAAUUUAUACGUAUUUGUUUCUACAUCACAGGCAUUAACUUUCUUUGUGCAAGUAUGCAUGCUUUCUUUUGGAUAAAGUAUAUGCUUGUUUUCAUAUCACGAAAUAGCACAUAGUAUUGAACCCGUACAAGCACACACUAAAAGCAUGGUUAAUAAUAUAGCCAUGAGCCUGCUGUAUGGAGUUGCCAUAGAAAACUAGCUGGGUUUUCCUCCUCUCGGGCGAUCUAGGUUACCCGUGAGUUCUCCCCGUCGACGGCAGGCCCCAGGUGAUCCGCUAAUUAGUCUGGAUGGCGCCCCCCUCGGAUGCCCGCUCUGCCACGAGCGGCGGUGGCGGGUCCGCAUCUGCCGCCAAGUCCGUUCUGGAGGGCGGAGUUCGAGGACAUUGUGAUUGACGAGGAAGACCCAUAACUCCAGGAAAGUACUCGAUGGCUUGCCCUAGCUAGGGUUCAUACUGAGAAAACCUUUAGUCAAUCGACAUUUUACAAGGACAUGAGAGCUGCGUGGAAUCCGAUGCAGCGGGCAAGAUUCCGUCCGGUCGGCCCCAAUCGGUUCGUCGUGCAGGCAUCGUGCUUGGGGGAUUGGGAUCGAAUUAUGCUACAGGGACCGUGGUUGUUUCGCAACUGGGCAGUGUUACUAUGCCCAUAUGAUGGUUUUACUAAAACAGAGGAGGUUAGCAUUGUUCAUAUGCCUGUUUGGCUGCAAAUCCAUAAGCUUCCAGAUGUUUACUGCAAGAAGAACAUUUUGAAGGGUGCAGUAGAGAUCAUGGAGAUGCGCUUGGAUGGUAAUAUCAGGGGAGACUAUGUAAGAGUCAGGGUUAACCAUGACAUCAGAAUGCCCCUGACGAAAUCUGUGAGUAUUGUCCGUGGUAGAGAAUGCCAUGUUUACCUUGUUCGAUAUGAAAAGUUGGCGAGAUUUUGCAGAAUGUGUGGCCUUGUAGGCCAUGAAUUCAAGGAGUGCGGAAUGGGUAUACACGAGGAGAAGGAUAUGAAGUUUGGCGUGUGGCUGUACGCGGGCGCACCCAACAAACCUAGAGGGGACUCUCAGUCAGCAGAGGAACAUACGGCCGAUCGUUCCAGGAAUGUGCAUGUUAAAUCUCUGGCAACGAAUGCAUCGGCUGGGCUGGGGAAGAAAGUGGUUGAUCCUGAUAUGAUGGACAUGUCCAUGUGCCCCGUGAAGAUCCCAGGGUGCAGCAUAGUGCAGGAUAAGGUCCCCAGAACGAGACUGAACACGGACAAGGCAGAAGGGGCGCUCAAGGCAGCCUCUGGUACCCCGCAACCCUUGCUGGCUAUCACUGAUGGUUCUAGCAAGGAUUCGAAGGAGAAUAACUCUCCUACAAGUAGCUCUAGUAGCAAGAGGGCAAGAGUUUCCAAGGAUAGCGAGAACCCACAAAAUUUGGUGCCCAUCUUCGAGGAGGACCGCCCGUCUCAAUGAAUAUCUUAUCGUGGAACUGCCCAGGAGGGGGGAGGUGUAACACCCCGAGGUCGAGGUGCCAGGUGUCUUCCAGUUAUUUGCUGUUGUUGCCUUGUCAUUCGCUUGCAUGUUGCAUCUUGUCAUGUCAUCAUGUGCAUUGCAUCAUCAUGUUUUAAAACUUGCAUCCGUCCGGGUUCUCCCAGUUCCUUCCGUUGUCCGUUCUGAGCCCAGACACACUUGCACGCGCCCGCGACAUGUCCAAAAUAUUAUUUUUACAAGUGGCCGGAAAAUGUUUUCGGAAUAGGGUGAAAGUUGGCAUGCGGUGUUGUUUUGUUGUUAGUAGGUCGCCUGCCAAGUUUCAUCACAUUUGGAGUCCGUUUGAUAGCCCAACCGUUAAACUAUAGCGACAAUAUAGCCGGUCUAACGUCGGACGUUUUCGGUCUCCGGAAACAGUUGCCGGGCUGCUCCCCUCUCCUCUCAUCUCAGCCCAACCUCUUUUCACAACUCACCUGCAGCCCACCUAAACCCCCUCCGUUCCGGGCCGUCAGAUCGCGAUCGGAGGCUCCGAAACGCUCCUAAAACCCCCCUAAACCCAAACCCUAGCCAUCCCUGUCUAUAUAUGGACAACCCCUUCCAAAUUUGGCAGCCUAGCCCUUCCCCUACCUCCCUGCCGCCUCCCUCCUCAAAUUCCGUGCCACCAACCGCCUCCCCCUCGUUUCCCGGUGCCAGCCACCGUCGUCCCGCCACUUGGCGAGCCUCCAAUGGCCGCGCCGCCACCUGAGACCGUCAGCGCGCCUCCCUGGACCAGUGGCAAGCCGCCACGCGUCGCCUCAGCCCCUCCCUCGCGCCUCCAGCCGCGCGGGCCCACCGGAAUCCAUCUGGAGCCCGCCCUGGGCCGCCCGGGCCCGAAUCGCCCCGCCGCCGUGCGCCCGAGCGCGCUCGCUCGCCCGCUCGUUUGCCUCCUCCUGCUGGAGCCCCGCUUCGCCUCGCGCUUCGCCUCCUUCUGUCGGCCACCGGUGUGCCGCCGCCGGCGACCUCCACCUCAGGCGAGAGCCCCGCCGUCCCUGUCUCUUCUCUCUUUCUUCUCCUCCCUCUUACUCACCUCGCGCUCUCCCUCCUACCCCGCAGGGAACCACCGCCGCCACCGGAAGCUUCCGCUGCCGCCGUCGACCAUCGAUGGAUGAGCAAACCCCGGAUCCGGCCACUCCGGCCUCCUCCCCACCAGAUCCGUGGGAUCCCGUUCGUCACUGCCGCCGCGCCCUUUGCUUCGACGGAGCUCGAAGGCCCGGCGCCCCUGCCUUCGCUCGAUCCCCUCUGGCUCGAGGAGGAGGAGGACGACAGGCGUCGCCGACACGUGGGCCGCGGCCUGGCCAGCCGGCCCAGCCACUCACCUGUGCCGCGCAAGGCCCAGGAGUCCCAUGCCGGCCUCCCUCCUCCACCGAGUGGCCGAGGCCCAGCUGCGCCCCCCUUCUGGCCUCACCUCACCACCGACUGUGACGUGGCCCAUGUGAGCAGCCACCCCCAGCCCUCCUGUGCACUGUUGGCCCAGCCAGAUGCGGCCCGUGUUAUUUUUUCCCUACGCUGCGAUUUUAGCUAUUAUCCAGAGUUUGCCAGUUUUGCAGAAAAGACCCUCAUGUUCAUGCAUAUAAUAACUCACAAUUCGUGCAUCGGAUUAAAAUGAUUUAUAUAUGAAACUUGCUCAGAAUUGUCUAGUUUAAUAAUUUGCCACUUUCACCCAUGUUUAAAAUGUUUAAAAUGUUGUUUGAUUAAUUUUUGCUCUAUGUCAUGUUAAAAUGCCUUAAUUCCUAACUAAAUAACCGUAGCUCCGAAUUAAAUAAUCUUUAUAUGUAAAUGGGGUAGAAUUUUGCCUCGUUUAACAUGGUGGCAUCAUCUUGCAUGUUUAAUAACUAUAAAAUAUGGUUUAGGACAGAACAAGACCUAACCUAAUAUAUGCACAUGAGGAGAUUCCGGAUUUGUUGUUCGUUGCUUCCGGCCUCAUUUAACCUUGACUAGAUGUGUAGUUUCUUUAUGCUUCAUCUCUUGCCAUGCUAACAACAUUGAAUAUUGUUGGGUACAUAAAUGAGAUCGAACCAAAUAACUUGAAUGUGGUGUUUCGUCAAUAUGCAACGGAAUUGCAUGUUGAGCUCCACUUAAUUUGUAGGAUUGUUUGUGCAUUUUGCCAUGCCAUGCUUCAUUAAACCGGACAUGCAUCAUACUUGAUUGUGCAUCGUGCCAUGUUGAUGUGUUGGUUGUUUACUAUGUUGUUUGCUUCUUUCCGGGUUGCUUCUCGCGUUAGCUUCGGUUUCGUUCCGGAGUUGUGAGUUUUGGUUCGACUUCGCCCGUUUGUCUUCUUCAUGGACUCGUUCUUCUUCCUUGCGGGAUUUCAGGCAAGAUGAUCAUACCCUCGAAAUCACUUCUAUCUUUGCUUGCUAGAUGCUCGCUCUUUUGCUAUGCCUAUGCUGCGAUACCUACCACUUGCUGAUUAUGCCUCCCAUAUUGUUGAACCAAGCCUCUAACCCACCUUGUCCUAGCAAACCGUUGUUUGGCUAUGUUACCGCUUUGCUCAACCCCUCUUAUAGCGUUGUUAGUUGCAGGUGAAGAUUGAAGUUUUGUUCCUUGUUGGAACAUGGAGAUCGUUCCUUGUUGGAACAUGUUUACUUGUUGGGAUAUCAUAAUAUAUCUUGUUUAAUUAAUGCAUCUAUAUACUUGGUAAAGGGUGGAAGGCUCGGCCUUAUGCCUGGUGUUUUGUUCCACUCUUGCCGCUCUAGUUUCCGUCAUAUCGGUGUUAUGUUCCCGGAUUUUGCGUUCCUUACGCGGUUGGGCUAUUAUGGGAACCCCUUGACAGUUUGCCUUGAGUAAAACUCUUCCAGCAAUGCCCAACAUUGGUUUUACCAUUUGCCACCUAGCCUUUUCUUUUCCCUUGGGAUCGCGCUCCUGAGGGUCAUCAUNNNNNNNNNNNNNNNNNNNNNNNNNNNNNNNNNNNNNNNNNNNNNNNNNNNNNNNNNNNNNNNNNNNNNNNNNNNNNNNNNNNNNNNNNNNNNNNNNNNNNNNNNNNNNNNNNNNNNNNNNNNNNNNNNNNNNNNNNNNNNNNNNNNNNNNNNNNNNNNNNNNNNNNNNNNNNNNNNNNNNNNNNNNNNNNNNNNNNNNNNNNNNNNNNNNNNNNNNNNNNNNNNNNNNNNNNNNNNNNNNNNNNNNNNNNNNNNNNNNNNNNNNNNNNNNNNNNNNNNNNNNNNNNNNNNNNNNNNNNNNNNNNNNNNNNNNNNNNNNNNNNNNNNNNNNNNNNNNNNNNNNNNNNNNNNNNNNNNNNNNNNNNNNNNNNNNNNNNNNNNNNNNNNNNNNNNNNNNAGGGGCAACUCUAGGCUGGCCUACCCGUACCUAGGACAAUCUGAGUGUGCCCUGAGAAAGAGAUAUGUGCAGCUCCUAUCGAGAUUUGUCGGCACAUUCGGGCGAUGUUGCUGGUUUAAUUUUACCCUGUCGAAAUGUCUUGUAGAACCGGGAUACCGAGUCUGAUCGGAAUGUCUCGGGAGGAGGUCUAUUCCUUCGUUGACCGUGAGAGCUUGUGAUGGGCUAAGUUGGGACACCCCUGCAGGGAUUUGAACUUUCGAAAGCCGUGCCCGCGGUUAUGGGCAGAUGAGAAUUUGUUAAUGUCCGGUUGUAGAUAACUUGAACCUUAACUUAAUUAAAAUGAUUCAACUGCGUGUGUAACCGUGAUGGUCUCUUUCCGGCGGAGUCCGGGAAGCGAACACGGUGUUGGAGUUAUGUUUGACGUAGGUUGUUUAGGAUCACUUCUUAAUCAUAUUUUUAUCGACCGUGCUUUGCCUUCUCUUCUCGCUCUCUUUUGCGUAGGUUAGCCACCAUAUAUGCUAGUCGCUUGCUGCAGCUCCACCUCAUACCUUUACCUUACCCAUAAGCUUAAAUAGUCUUGAUCGCGAGGGUGUGAGAUUGCUGAGUCCCCGUGGCUCAUAGAUACUUCCAAAACCAGCUUGCAGGUGCCGAUGUGUCCGUGCAGAUGACGCAACCAAGCUCAGGAGGAGCUCGAUGAAGAUCUUGUCCUUUGUGUUGUUCCGUUCUAGUUGAUCAGUAGUGGAGCCCAGUUGGGGUCGAUCGGGGACCUUUGUCGCAUUUGGGGUUCUUCUUUUAUUUUGGCUCCAUAUUCGGGCCCUGAUUGUACUUGGAUGAUGUAAUGCUUUAUUCAUGUAAUUGUGUGAAGUGACGAUUGUAAGCCAACUAUGUAUCUCUUUUCCCUUAUUGUAUUACAUGGGUUGUGUGAAGAUUACCUCACUUGCGACAUUGCUUUAUAUGUGGUUAUGCCUCUAAGUCGUGUUUCGACACGUGGGAGAUAUAGCCGCAUCGAGGGCGUUACAGGAGGGGACCACGAGACAGUUCGUGAGGUGUUGGCCCUCUCAAAAGGCAAUAACCCCAAGCCAGUCUUCCUUUGUGAGACUAGACAAGAGUCUAUGAAAGUUGAAAAAAAUGAGAUGGAACUUGGUCCGAAGAGUUUCCAUGGUAUGAGUGAGUAGUGGUGGCAGAAGUAGUUGAUUGACACUAUUUUGGGAUGAGUCUUUGAUAGUAACAAUACUAGAAUCUUGCAAACGGACCAUUGAUAUUAGAAUUGUAGACGGGGGCUCCGGAAUAUCAUGGAGGGGAACCUUUGUUUACGGCAAACCGAGAGUUUAAAACAGACAACCGAUGUGGGAUCAUUUAUGUAGGCUUCGAGCCGUCUGGAGGAGCCUUGGUUGUAGCCUGUUGCCUGGAGCGUUGGUCGCCACUUGGCUCAUCGCUGCCUCCGGGCCGUCGAGCACAGCUAUGAAGAGCCGCCCAGCCGCCACAACUUUUCGAAGGAGAGGGAGACAAAGGAACGAGAUCUGACAGAAUGACUGAAUGACGCUAGGUUUUCCGGAUUAAUAUGCGCUCAGAUCUGGUUAGGCCUCUAUUUCGGCCCGUUAAAAUGGAAUCUCAGCUGAUCGGGGGAAAAUGCAGCGACAACUAACCAAUUUAGCGUUGUUUCACGCCGCAAUCGCGGUCAUAGCAUCCGAUCGCGGGAAAUUGGGCUUCUCAUCACGGGGAGGCUCCCCAACCACGAUUGCGCUGCCAUGGCGCACUUUUCGUCCAUGCUUUUAAAAUUUGGGAUUUGCCCCAUGGUUGCCUCAAGUCACAGACAAAUUAGGCCUGCAGGAAUGGACCAAAUCGUUGCGCAUGCGCUUUUCAUCCUGGCAGGAUCGCUCGGGAGCAGAAGCUAUCAAACUGUAUUGUUCGCUCGCUCCAGGAUUUCUGGGGAGAAGCCAGGUGCUGGCUGCUGGCGCUGGAGUCAGGGACUUCGUGACCGUGGAGCACUACCGAACAUGCCUUUAGGCCUUGUACAAUGGUAGGUGCUUACACACGGGUGCUUAAGAAAAAAGAGCAGCGUAGUGUCGCAAAUAAAUGUGGUCUCGCAAUGCAAAGGUGCUAGGCAGAUGUGCUUCCGUUGCUUCUAUCUGCCUUCAGCGUGACUCAAGGGAGCAGUUAUUUUGCCCAAGCACCGCUGGAACUAGAAGCAAACUUUUGCUUCUGUCUCCUUUCCUAAGCACCUAUUCAAACCAAUCCCAGGAAAAAAUCAGGUUUUUUUCUCAAGCACCCAUGCAAGCACCUGCCACUGUACAGGGACGAGAUAAUUAUAUUAGAAAGGAAAAAGGAAAAAAGACAGCCGUAGGAUGAAGUGGGAGCACGGAUGAGAGCAUGGGAAGGAAACAGGCAAGCCAGAUCUACUGUACAGGGCCUAAUCCCCACAUGGCUUGAUGUGGCCAAUGAUAGAGGCGAGCAUGAAGGAGGGGACAUAGCAGGUCGGUCAAGGCGAGAGACAUACCACUCAGAGAGCAGUUUGCUAGAGUUUUUCUUUCCUUUUGAAGGAUGUGGAGUGGGGUUAGCUUGAUGUCGAGCGAUCAGAACCAGAGUGAGCCAAAUCAUAAGUUCACAACGGAAGUGUGGAUGAAGACAUGUACUGCAUGGGAAAAGUACCCUGCAAUAUAAUCCACAUGAAUCAGAUUGUCCAUAUAAUGAAACAACAGGAAGAAGAAUCUUCGGCGGUAGCAGCAGUAGUAGUAUUUACAUGUUAAUAAUCCAAAUAAUAGUGUUUUAAAGAAAGUUUGAAAUACAUGCUUUAUACUCUCUUUUCUAACUUUAUAAUGAGCUUGCCAUGGAACAUGGCGAUUCCGUAUUAGGUGUUUCUUGGUCGCAUCUUGUAAUAUGUCAACCUUUAUUUGCCGUCUUAGCGGAUCUCCAAAACAGACCGAACAGAGGCAUCCGGACGUAGUUUUCCAUCCGUAGUUGUCUCGUACCGGUCUGUGGACCAGUCCGCGCGCCCAUUUUUUCGCUAACUAGAAACAAACCUCUAUCACGUAGGACUCUGACCCAUCCAAAAUCACACGUAGACCUCGCGUCUCCGUCUCUUUCUGCUUUCUCUACAACUGCUGCCUCCCUGGCCGACGCUACUGCUAUACCACCCUGGCCGCCCGCCAAGUCCUUGCCGGAUCUCUGUGACCUCCGCCGCUCCACCUGGCCGCCAUGCUGCUUUGCCAACGCCGCCAUUCCACAACCCUCAUUUGUCCGGCAUGCAGGUACCAUCUGCCCCUAUGCUGCCCAUGGGAUCACCACGCCCGGCUAGUGUUUGGUGAAAUGCCCAUGCUAAAUUUUGGACAAUUUUACUCCCUUCUUUGAAGCAAUGGAUUCUAACAUGGUGUAUAUCUACCAGCACUACGUUGAGUCAUCUCAUGGCUCGUUCGAUGACGAGGAUUAUGUGGAUGAAACGGCGAUCAUGCAGACGGUCCUUACAGACACGGAGCAUGCGGAAGAGCAUGUUCUCAAUUUCUAGGGAAUGAUCAAGAGUCCUCGAGGUGCUGAAUCGAAAAAGGGCACACGGGCAUUUGCCACUAAUGGAUGACUAUUUUGCCCUUGAGACCCUAUUCAAGCACAAGUUUCACCGGCGCUGUCGGAUGCGGAAAAAUAUGUUUGGUCGCUUCUACAAUGGCGCUCGGGCCUACGAUGACUACUUCAUCUUGAAGAAGGAUGCCAUACGAAGAAUUGGAUUCUGUGCACAGUUGCAUGCAAGAUGCUUGCAUAUUGCACGGCCGCAGAUUCGUGGGACGAUUACCUGAGAUGUCUAAGAGCACAUGUGGAGAUGUCGUGAUUAAAUUUGCUACUACAUUGGUCGAGGUGUUUGGACCAUAGUACUUCAGAGAAUCAACUGUCGCAGAGACACUGAAAGGCUCAUGACACUCCCGAAAGCAAGAGGAUGUCUAGGUAUGUUCAGAUCUCUUGUUUGCAUGAAUUGGAGAUGAAAGAACUACCCAAAAGCUCUACAUGGGCAAUAUAUGGGCCAUGUUAAGAAGCCCACUAACAUUGUUGAAGCAGUUGCAUCACAAGACCUGUGGAUUUGGUACACUUUCGUUGGCAUACUGGAGUUUCACAAUGACAUUAGUGUGCUGCAACAGUCUUCAUUGUUUCCGAGGUUGACUAAAGGACGGCCUCCUCCAUGCAACUAUGUUGUCAAUGGGCAUGACUACAAUAUGGGCUACUAUCUAUUCAUGGUACCUAUCCUGUGUGUGUGGUCUUCAUGAAGACCAUCAUCGAGCUAGCUGGUCAUAAAAAAGCUCACUUUUUCCAAUGAUAAGAAGGAGUUAGAAAGGAUGUGGAGAGAACAUUUGGAGUGCUCCAAGCCUGUUUUGCAGUUGUUCGUAGACCUGCUAAACAAAUGGGAUCUGGAGACCUUGUGGAACCUGAUGACAUAUUGUGUGAUCAUAUAUAACAUGAUCAUGGAGGAUGAGGAUGAAGGUGAUGCCAGAGAUCUGAAAUUUGACCACAUGGGUGAUCUUAUUCUACUUCCAUAUCAGAAUCCGGCCGCGUUUGAUGAAUUUGUCCAAAUGUGUCAAUAAAUUCGAGGUUGAGCAAUUUAUGAGCAGCUCAAGAAUGAUCUGAUUGAGCGUCUGUGGACGGUUAAGGAGGACAACUAGAACAUAUGUGGGAGUUGAAUUCACAUUUGAACUAUUUUAUUUCAAAACUAGUUGGAUUGUCAUAUUUAAAUUUGAACUAUUGUCGCAUUUGGAUAUUUUCCCUCAUCGAAGGUUUGAGAUGCUAUUAUUUUAAGCAUUGCCGACUUCAAAACAGGGCUGAACGUUUAGGUGACAGGGUUGGUUGGCCAGCCCCCAUAUCCAUGUAUACGAUGACUCUGCACUAGUCCGUGGACAAAUAAUGUGUCGAUUUUCAGGGUCAGCGUUCAAGAUGCCCUUAGAGCGUCUCUAGUAGACCCCAUAUAGUGCCGACCCGCAAAAUGCGUUUACAGUUCCCGGAAAACCGUAUUUGUGGGUCGGUGCGGGUGGGGGCCGAGCAGACCCCGCAAAGUGGAUCCGUAAAGUCCAUUUUUACGGACCCGCUUUGCGGGGUCUGCUCGGCCCCCGCCCGCUCCGGCCCGCAAAUCAAUAAUUUUUAUUUCAAUUUCAGACAUGAAAAUACAUUUCUUUGCUUCUUUAUUUUCUUCCACGACAUUGGAUACAUAGUAAUUCACCAAACCUUUGCUAGAAUAGCAAGACCAAAGAAAACAAAAAACCACAAUUAGGCAUUUUAGAAGAUAUCCAACUUGCAUAACUGCUCCCACUAGUUGGACCAAUAUCUUUUCCAUGCCUUCAUUGUUGAUAUGCGGAUUCUUGGUCUUGCAUUCUUCAUUCUUCUUUUUUGAUUCUAAAGAAGUAGAGGUUGCUUCCCCUCUAGUUUCUUCUCUAAUUGCACAUGCAGCCGCACCAUUAGCCUCAAUUCUACCAACGAGUGGACGGACAUCUAUUAAGUUUCUUUCUAUCAAUAAAUCGAUGUAAUCUUCUUCCCAAAACCAAAAUGAGCAUCCACCCUCCUACACACAUGACCAUCUCAAUAAGCUAUCAAAUUUGAACCGAAUAGGUUGGCAAAGCCGAAUGAAACAAGAACAUACCCCGUCGUUUUCGCAUUUGAAGAAUACCAAUCCGGGGUGUUUCGGCAUGCUAGAUGUUAGCCGCAGCACUGUAUGCAUGCAGUUGUCGCAUAGUAUGAGAGGCAUCGGCGACCCGACGAGCCGCUGGGAGACCGCUGAGCCCAGGCAACGGCCGGCCGAGUCCUUGCUGGCACACCGACGACGGCGGCUAGAGGAGGAACCAGUACCUGCAUGCGGUACUAGGGCUUUGCCGGGGUUGGUCGGGGUGCUCCCCGACCAAUCCAUGGCUUGGCGCAGCCACCGAUGCCCGAAAACGCCAAAUCCGGCCGCCGCAACAAACAACCGUCGAGCUGCAACUUUCCGGCCCACCGAGGCCGGAGGAAGUGGCGGAGGACAAUCUCGGGCUUGUGGCGGUCCUCCGGCAUGAUCCCGCCGGCUAGUAUGGUCGGAAUCGACGGCGGCAACACGACNNNNNNNNNNNNNNNNNNNNNNNNNNNNNNNNNNNNNNNNNNNNNNNNNNNNNNNNNNNNNNNNNNNNNNNNNNNNNNNNNNNNNNNNNNNNNNNNNNNNNNNNNNNNNNNNNNNNNNNNNNNNNNNNNNNNNNNNNNNNNNNNNNNNNNNNNNNNNNNNNNNNNNNNNNNNNNNNNNNNNNNNNNNNNNNNNNNNNNNNNNNNNNNNNNNNNNNNNNNNNNNNNNNNNNNNNNNNNNNNNNGGCAAGGGGGAGAGGGGCGGCGGUGGGUGGGGAAAAGCGCGGGCUGAAAUGUCACCCCCGCCAACCGGUACCGCUAUAUAUAGGUCACCGAUGGGGCAAAGGAGGGAACCCCCGUUUUCGCGGGUUGGGGUGGGAAUUAUGCCGCGCCCUGCAAUUUUUUUUACGGAUCCGACACGUUUACGGGGUCUGAUCGGGCAUCAUUUUUCGUACGGACCUGUAUUUUGGCGGUUAUUUGCGGGUCGGGGCAUUACGCGGGGUCUGCUAGAGAUGCUCUUAUGUUUGUUGUUUUUGACCUCAUUUACGGGAAGCACACAAAAUGGUCAAAAUGAUCACAUGGCAACUUGUUGGAAUAAUUUCACCUUGUUGUAAUCACCUUCUUCUGAAAAACAAAAAUCUAGAACUUUCUUGGAGGCAUAUAAAAACAAAUCAUGCAAAAAAUGCCCUGCGUUCAAUAUAUAAAAUUCUAUGCUAUUAAUAUUAAAAAUAUCAUGCUCCUAUGAGUAAAAAUUUCAUGUUGUUAACAUAAAAAAUGCCAUGCUUUUCUUUGAAUGGAUAAAUGUCAUGGUCCUAAUAGUAAAAAUGUCAUGCUAUUAAGAUUUAAAAUGUCAUGCUCUUAACAGUGAAAAUGUCAUGCUAUUAAUAAUAAAAAUGUCAUGCUCUUAACAGUAAAAAUGUCAUGCUAUUAAUAUUAAAAAUUCCAUGCUCUUUUUAAGGGAAAAGACAUGCUAUUAAUAGUUAAUGUGACAUACUCUUAAACAAUAAAAUUGCGAUUGUAAAAUAAAAUAAAAUUGUGAUGGUUAAAUAAAAUAAAAUAGCCGUACUGUGUACUUUCUUUGGAAAAAAUAUAUAAGAACCACACAAAAAGGAAAUACCAUGAUUCGAGAAUUAAAAUUUCCAUGCCAUUUAAAAUAAAUUUACCAUUGUUAUAGUUAAAAAAUGCCAAGUUCAUAAAAACAAUUCUAGGCUCUUAACGAUAAAAACGCCAUGCUAUAAAUAAUGAAGCUGCCAUGCUCUUAAAAGAUGCCACGGUCUAAAAAAAGAAAUACCGCCGAUUUUUUUUGCCAUAGAGUAAAUAAUACAAAUGCCAAGCUACCUACACUAAAACUACCGUGGUCUAAUUAAUAAUAAUGCAAUGGUCUAACAAAUAGAAGUGCUAUGCUAGCUUAGUCAUGUGAACAUGUAAAAAAAGGAGUUAUGGUUAUAUACUGUUUUGAAAAACAUACGGAAAAUUCACAGUAACCAUGGCAACUAGUUUGACAUGGCAAAAUGUGGAUGGGACAAAAAUUCUAAGAUAUUUGUUAGGAGCAUUGUACAAAGAAUUUCCCAUGAGGCAAAAAUCCUAUGACACACGCUUAGUGAUGGAAAAAACUCACCAAGUUUGAGUUGACAAGAAAGUGAUAAACAAAAAUAAUACUUGAAUGUAGAAAAAAUAUUGAUGUGCAUGGCAAAAAGUAACUUAAAUUUGCUAAUGGGAAAAAUCUACAAGGGGACAAAGCAUUUCAGCGCAUGUCAAAAAGUAACUUAAAUUUGGCAAUGAAAAAAUAUAGAGGAAUGUUAAACAUUGUAUUAUGACGUGUGCGUGUGUAUGGUUGUUGUAAUAUGGUUAGGCUUAGAGAUAUGAUCCCAUAGUUUGUUAGAUUACUUGGAGAUCAAUCCUAGCCUAACUAACCCUUGUAAUCUCUUGGCCUUGAGCCCUAUAUUAACACGCACGCGUCCCUGCAGCUAUGCAUACGCUUAAGCCUAGUUUUCUACAUGGUAUCAGAGCCGCUCCCUUCCAUCGCAUCUAGAUGUCUUCAUCGUCCUCCUCCGCCAUGGCCACACCCUCCCUCGCAUCCCUCGGCCAUACCAUCACGGAAAAGCUGAACCGUGAGAACUUUCUUGUCUGGAGGGCGCAGGUACUACCGCAUGUUCGCGCGGCGGGCAUGAUGGGGUUCCUGGACGGUUCCCAGAAGGAACCCGACGCCAAGAUCCGCACGGAGAAGGACGUCGCCGGCAAGAAGGAGGUCACCGUCGCCGCCAACCCAGAGCACGCCAUCUGGGUUACCCAGGACCAGCAGGUGCUCUCGUUUUUGAUCGCUUCCCUUUCUCGCGAAGUGCUCCUGCAGGUCAGCAACUGCACGACGGCCGCCGCCACCUGGAGCGCUCUUCUCCAGAGCUUCUCCUCGCAGUCCCGUGCUCGCAUCAUCCAGCUCCGCGAUCAGAUCGGGGACACCAAGAAGGGUGACAUGACGGCGGUUGCCUACUUCACCAAGAUGAAGGGGCUCGCUGACGAACUUGCAGCCGCUGGGAGGCCUCUGGAUGAAGAUGAUGUUGUUUCUCACAUCAUCCAGGGGCUCAUGCACGAGCCGGAGUACAGCGGGUUCGUCUCCGCCGUCUCCACGCGCACCAUCACCGACCAGCCCAUCAGCCUAGGCGAGUUAUUCUCGCUACUGCUUGCUGCUGAGUCACGCAUCACCGCACAGACCUCCGCCUACUCCACCAACCUUGCUGCAAAAGGUAGAGGCCAUGGCAACACCAACCAGGGAGGCCCUCGUGGUGGCGGCAAUAGCGGCUCCCGUGGCUACAACAACAACAACACGGGCGCCCGCUUCUUCGACAAGUACUCUGGUGGUGGCGGCUCUGGCGGAGCGCCUCGCCAGGGUGGUGGUCGCGGUGAUCGUGGUGACCGCGAGAAGUGUCAAAUCUGCAAGAACGAGGGGCAUGGUGCAUGGCGCUGCAAGAAGCGCUACGACUGCAACUUGAACAACAAUGUGCGUAACCCUGCUGGUGGUGGAGGUGGUGGUGGCGGCGGUGGGAACCGUUCUGCCAACGCUGUCCACUCCUAUGGAGUUGAUACCAAUUGGUAUCUCGACUCCGGCGCAACCAAUCACGUGACCGGUGAGCUGGAGAAGCUUGCUGUUCAUGACCGUUACACCGGCCCGGAGCAAAUCCACACCGCAAGUGGUCAAGGUAUGGACAUUGCACAUGUCGGUCAUUUAGUUCUAUCUACUCCUCAUGGAUCCUUAGAUCUCAAGAAUAUACUUCACUCUCCGCAUGCCAACAAAAGUUUACUUUCUGCCUAUCAACUCAUCAAAGAUAAUCAUGCUUUUCUUGAGAUUUACCCUGAAACCUUUUUUGUUAAGGAUCGGGCCACUCGGAGGACCAUUCUUCAAAACGAGAGUAGGGGUGGCUUAUUUCCUAUUUCUGGCCGGCAAGAUGCUCCUUCUUCACAAGUCCUAAGUGUGAUCAAACCAUCUACUUUACGGUGGCACAAGCGCUUAGGACAUCCUGCAUUACCGGUGGUUCAGAAAAUUCUUCGAGAUUUUAGUCUUCCCGUGUCAAUUAAAAAAGAUCAUUUGCUGGUUUGUGAUGCUUGCCAGAUGGCCAAGAGCCAUCAACUUCCCUAUCCUAAGUCUUUUAGUGUGUCAAAAGCUCCUUUAGAGCUUAUUUUUUCGGAUGUAUGGGGUCCUGGACCCGUCUCUGUAGGCAGACAAAAAUAUUAUGCGAGCUUUAUUGAUGAUUUUAGCAAGUUUAGUUGGAUUUAUUUGCUCAAAAAUAAGUAUGACGUGUUUGAGAAAUUUCAUCUCUUUCAACAGCAUGUUGAACGUCUCUUUGAUCGCAAAAUUCUUGCUAUGCAAACGGAUUGGGGGGGUGAGUAUCAAAAACUCAAUUCCUUUUUUGAACGCAUUGGCAUCACUCAUUACGUCUCAUGUCCACAUGCUCACCAGCAGAAUAGAUCUGCAGAACGGAAGCACCGGCAUAUCGUGGAAGUUGGUCUGUCCCUCCUUGCUCAUGCCUUUAUGCCCUUAAAAUUUUGGGAUGAGGCGUUCCUUACAGCUGUGUAUCUUAUCAACCGUGUUCCUAGCAGGGUUAUCAAAAACCAAACUCCACUUGAACGUCUCUUUGGCAAGAAACCUGACUAUACCUUUCUCCGCAUCUUUGGGUGUGCCGUUUGGCCUAAUCUGCGUCCUUUCAAUAAGCACAAACUUGAAUUUAGGUCAAAACAAUGUGUCUUCUUGGGGUAUAGUAGCCUACACAAGGGAUACAAGUUCCUCAAUGUAGCCUCUGGUCGUGUCUAUAUUUCUAGGGACGUCGUCUUUGAUGAACAUGUGUUUCCUUUCGCCACGAUAUGAUCGAGGUGGAUUAUGGUGGAGGGGCACCGCACACGGCUGGGAGAGAUCAACAGAUCAACUUGUGUUUCUAGAGGUACCCCCUGCCCCCGUAUAUAAAGGAGGGAGGGAGAGGCCGGCCCUAGAGGAGGCGCGCCAAGUGUGGGGAGUCCUACUAGGACUCCCAAGUCCUAGUAGGAUUCCCCUUUCCUUUUCAGAGUAGGAGAGAAGGAAAGAGGGGGAGAGGGAGAAGGAAAAGGGGGCUGCACCCCUUGUCCAAUUCGGACCAGAGGGGGGGCGCGCGCCUCCUUCCUUUUGGCCUCUCUCCUCUAUUCCCGUAUGGCCCAAUAAGGCCCAAUACUUCUCCCGGUGAAUUCCCAUAACUCCCUAGUACUAAGAAAAUACCCGAAUCACUCGAAACCUUUCCGAUGUCCGAAUAUAGUCGUCCGAUAUAUCAAUCUUUACGUCUCGACUAUUUAGAGACUCCUCGUCAUGUCCCCGAUCUCAUCCGGGACUCCGAACUACCUUCGCUAUAUGAAAUCACAUAAACUCAUAAUACAAUCGUCACUGAAACUUUAAGCGUGCGGACCCUACGGGUUCGAGAACUAUGUAGACAUGAUCGGGACACGUCUCCAGCCAAUAACCAAUAGCGGAACCUGGAUGCUCAUAUUGGCUCCCACAUAUUCUAUGAAGAUCUUUAUCGGUCAAAUCGCAUAACAACAUACGUUGUUCCCUUUGUCAUCGGUAUGUUACUUUCCCGAGAUUCGAUCGUAGGUAUCUCAAUACCUAGUUCAAUCUUGUUACCGGCAGGUCUCUUUACUCAUUCCGUAAUACAUCAUCUCGCAACUAACUCAUUAGUCACAUUGCUUGGAAGGCUUAUAGUGAUGUGCAUUACCGAGAGGGCCCAGAGAUACCUCUCCGACAAUUGGAGUGACAAAUCCUAAUCUCGAAAUACGCUAACCCAACAAGUACCUUUGGAGACACCUAUAGAGCACCUUUAUAAUCACCCAGUUACGUUGUGAUGUUUGGUAGCACACAAAGUGUUCCUGCGGUAAACGGGUGUUGCAUAAUAUCAUAGUUAUAGGAACAUGUAUAAGUCAUGAAGAAAGCAAUAGCAGAAGAAAGCAAUAGCAGAAUACUAAACGAUCAAGUGUUAUGCUAACGGAAUGGGUCAAGUCAAUCACAUCAUUCUCCUAAUGAUGUGAUCCCGUUAAUCAAAUGACAACUCAUGUCUAUGGUUAGGAAACUUAACCAUCUAUGGUCAGCACACGUUCAGCUUCGAGGGAGAGUUCCAUCAGCACGACGGUGUGAUGACGGUGAUGAUGAUGCUACCGACGCAGGGCUUCGCCUAAGCACCGCUACGAUAUGAUUGAGGUGGAUUAUGGUGGAGGGGGCACCGCACACGGCUGGGAGAGAUCAACAGAUCAACUUGUGUGUCUAGAGGUGCCGCCCUGCCCCCAUAUAUAAAGGAGGGAGGGAGAGGCCGGCCCUAGAGGAGGCACGCCAAGUGUGGGGAGUCCUACUAGGACUCCCAAGUCCUAGUAGGAUUCCCCUUUCCUUUCCGGAGUAGGAGAGAAGGAAAGAGGGGGAGAGGGAGAAGGAAAAGGGGGCUGCACCCCUUGUCCAAUUCGGACCAGAGGGGGGGCGCGCGCCUCCUUCCUUUUGGCCUCUCUCCUCUAUUCCCGUAUGGCCCAAUAAGGCCCAAUACUUCUCCCGGUGAAUUCCCAUAACUCCCCGGUACUAAGAAAAUACCCGAAUCACUCGGAACCUUUCCGAUGUCCGAAUAUAGUCGUCCGAUAUAUCAAUCUUUACGUCUCGACUAUUUAGAGACUCCUCGUCAUGUCCCCGAUCUCAUCCGGGACUCCGAACUACCUUCGGUACAUAAAAUCUCGUAAACUCAUAAUACAAUCAUCACCGAAACUUUAAGCGUGCGGACCCUACGGGUUCGAGAACUACGUAGACAUGACCGAGACACGUCUCCAGCCAAUAACCAAUAGCGGAACCUGGAUGCUCAUAUUGGCUCCCACAUAUUCUAUGAAGAUCUUUAUCGGUCAAACCGCAUAACAACAUACGUUGUUCCCUUUGUCAUCGGUAUGUUACUUUCCCGAGAUUCGAUCGUCGGUAUCUCAAUACCUAGUUCAAUCUCGUUACCAGCAGGUCUCUUUACUCGUUCCGUAAUACAUCAUCUCGCAACUAACUCAUUAGUCACAUUGCUUGCAAGGCUUAUAGUGAUGUGCAUUACCGAGAGGGCCCAGAGAUACCUCUCCGACAAUCGGAGUGACAAAUCCUAAUCUCGAAAUACGCUAACCCAACAAGUACCUUUGGAGACACCUGUAGAGCACCUUUAUAAUCAUCCAGUUACGUUGUGAUGUUUGGUAGCACACAAAGUGUUCCUCCGGUAAACGGGAGUUGCAUAAUAUCAUAGUUAUAGGAACAUGUAUAAGUCAUGAAGAAAGCAAUAGCAGAAUACUAAACGAUCAAGUGUUAUGCUAACAGAAUGGGUCAAGUCAAUCACAUCAUUCUCCUAAUGAUGUGAUCCCGUUAAUCAAAUGACAACUCAUGUCUAUGGUUAGGAAACUUAACCAUCUUUGAUUAACGAGCUAGUCAAGUAGAGGCAUACUAGUGACACUAUGUUUGUCUAUGUAUUCACACAUGUAUUAUGUUUCUGGUUAAUACAAAUGUAGCAUGAAUAAUAAACAUUUAUCAUGAAAUAAGGAAAUAAAUAAUAACUUUAUUAUUGCCUCUAGGGCAUAUUUCCUUCAGUCUCCUACUUGCACUAGAGUCAAUAAUCUAGUUCACAUCGCCAUGUGAUUUAACAUCAAUAGUUCACAUCUUUAUGUGGUUAACACCCAUAGUUCACAUCGAUAUGUGACCAAUACCCAAAGGGUUUACUAGAGUCGGUAAUCUAGUUCACAUCACUAUGUGAUUAACACCCAAAGAGUACUAAGGUGUGAUCAUGUUUUGCUUGUGAGAUAAUUUUAGUCAACGGGUCUGUCACAUUCAGAUCCGUAAGUAUUUUGCAAAUAUUUAUGUCUGCAAUGCUCUGCACGGAGCUACUCUAGCUAAUUGCUCCCACUUUCAAUAUGUAUCUAGAGCGAGACUUAGAGUCAUCCAGAUCGGUGUCAAAGCUUGCAUCGACUUAAAUCUUUAAGACGAACGUUUUGUCACCUCCAUAAUCGAGAAACAUAUCCUUAUUCCGCUAAGGAUAAGUUUGACCGCUGUCCAGUGAUCUACUCCUAGAUCACUAUUGUACUCCCUUGCCAAACUCAAUGUAGGGUAUACAAUAGGUCUCGUACACAACAUGGCAUACUAUAUAAUAGAGGUGAAUUUUGUUGGUCCUAAGACAUAACACAAAAUAGUUUUGUCCUAAGCAAAACUUAACAAAGAAAAUACUAAACUAAUAAUUUUAACAGAAAAAAAAAUAAAAUUUAAAACAACUAAGUUAACAUAAAGUAUUUUUCAUAAAGUUUUACUAGCAAAAGGAAACACAUAAAAAGAUAAAUUAAAACUCGAAUUAUGCUUAAAACAAAACUAGUAAGAAAAGAAAAAAAACAUUUUAUUUUUCUGUAAAUAAAAGUUCACCCUCUAAUACUACAGAAACAAAUCUGAACAAAAAUAUAAUAGAGGUGAAUUUUUUUUAAACAUAAUUAAAACAGCAAAAACAUCAGCAAGCUAACCAAACUAGAAAAGCUUGUUUUCGAGUAAAACCUUUUUAAAUAAAAACUAUAAGUACCCAAGUUAAUCCUACUGCUAGUCAAGGUCAAAACAAAGCAGUGACAAAAAGAAUCACCAAAAUAAAAUAAUCCUAACUCACUUUAUAGCAGAAAUACUAAUAUGACUAAAACUAAUAUAAAACAAUUUUUAAAAACUAAAACAUGACCGAAUCUAUUUUUCUACAGAAACUACAAGAAAUUUUAAACUAACAAAAAAAGAAUCAACUAAAAAUAUUGAACAACCUAAAAGAUAUAGACUUUACAAGAACAUAACUAUUCUAUUUUAAAAACAGAAACUUAAAAAAACAAAAAAAGGCGCUACUGGGCCUAUCUAACGCUCAGGCGAACACUAACUAAACCGCGCUCGCGGCUAAACAGAAUAACCGACCGGUUCGAUCAAUAAAAACAAACCAUAACUAAGCCGAAAAAAGACAGAACUAAAACCGAUCUAAACAAAUAAACCUAUCCCUUCGUGUAAUCUAAUCUAGGCCGUUCAUGCGCGAUCCAACGGUGGUGGGGGUUCCGGCGGCUUACAGCGACUCGACGGCGACGACGGACGACGGCGGCUCGGGCGGCGACGGCGCAGCGGCUCCGGUGGUCCGGGGCGACGGCGGUGACGUCGGGGAGAUUCGGCGGAGCGAGGCGAGGUCGAGGGUGGCAGUUGCUGCGGUCGGGGACGACGGAGACGAGUGGAACGAGCUCGGCGGGGCUCCUGGUGCUCUGCAACUCCGGCGACGGGCGGUGAUGCUCAAGGCGGCGACUCCGGCGAUCCCUGGGCGGAGAGAGGAUGUCAAAGAGGUGCGGGAGGAGGCGGAGGUUCGGGUGAUGAUGCUGGGAAGGCAGAGAGUGCUCACCGUCGUCGGGAGUGGCGGCGAACCGAGGCGACGGCGGCGAGAUGCGUUCGGCGAGGGCGUGGGCGGCGGUGGGUUGCGGGGUUAGGGUUUUAGGGGGAUCGAGAGAGGAGGCCGAGGGGUUUAUAUAGGGCAAGGUCUUGGAGGAGGGGGCGGCGCGGGAUCGCGAUCCCGAGAAGAUCGCGGUGUCGGGCGGCGGUGGUCGCGCUCUGGUGCGGGCAUGGCGUGGGCGAAGGGUAAGAGAUGAGGGUAGGCCCCGCGGUCAGUGAGAGAAGGAGAGGAGGGUUCGGUCGGGCGACCGAAGCGGAGACGGGUCGGGCGUGCCCGCGGCUGUGCUGCGGCUCGGCUCGCUGCUGGGCCACGUCAGGUGGCUGGCUGGGCCGCAUCGGUUGGCUAGCUGGGCCGGUUGGCCUGGCCAGCUCGGGGGUUUAUUUUCCUUUUUUUUGAAAAUCAAAGAGAGAGAAAACUAAAUAUAGAGAAAACUAUAGUAUUUUUAUAUACGACAUAUAUAUAUCUCGAAACUCAGAAAAAAUAAAUCCUACACCGUGUACAUUUUUCCAGAGGCAAAAUGCAAACUUAAGGAAAAACAUUUUUUUAUAAAUUCCAAAUAAACUCCAAUUUGAAUUCAAAAACUUUUGGCAUUAAUUUCUCUUAACUUUUUGGAGUGUCAUGUUAGCUCCUCUCAUACUUUUAAACAAGUAUUUGUCAGGGGUAUAUGAAAUAAAUUUCGAAUGGCAAGUUGAAUCCAAAUUCAAAUAAAAUUCAAAUGCCUCUGAAAUUUCCAAAUGCCACUAAAUUUCACACAAUCAGUCACACAACAUUCAAUCAAACAAUAAUAAAUAUUUAUUUAACAUAGCAUUCCGAAAUUUAGAAUUUUGGGAUGUUACAAACCUACCACACUUAAAAUGAAUCUCGUCCUCGAGAUUCGAAGAGGCUAGCAAGAAAAGGUUAGGGUUUGGGGGUCUUCUAGCUAAUCCAUCAACCGGAGAGGUUUGGGGUGCUACCACACUUAGAAGCAUGCUUACGGUCCCAACAAAACUCGUGUACUCCAUUCCUUUGCGCUGUCGGAUGCGGAAAAAUAUGUUUGGUCGCUUCUACAAUGGCGCUCGGGCCUACGAUGACUACUUCAUCUUGAAGAAGGAUGCCAUACGAAGAAUUGGAUUCUGUGCACAGUUGCAUGCAAGAUGCUUGCAUAUUGCACGGCCGCAGAUUCGUGGGACGAUUACCUGAGAUGUCUAAGAGCACAUGUGGAGAUGCCGUGAUUAAAUUUGCUACUACAUUGGCCGAGGUGUUUGGACCAUAGUACUUCAGAGAAUCAACUGUCGCAGAGACACUGAAAGGCUCAUGACACUCCCGAAAGCAAGAGGAUGUCUAGGUAUGUUCAGAUCUCUUGUUUGCAUGAAUUGGAGCUGAAAGAACUACCCAAAAGCUCUACAUGGGCAAUAUAUGGGCCAUGUUAAGAAGCCCACUAACAUUGUUGAAGCAGUUGCAUCACAAGACCUGUGGAUUUGGUACACUUUCGUUGGCAUACUCGAGUUUCACAAUGACAUUAGUGAGCUGCAACAGUCUUCAUUGUUUCCGAGUUGACUAAAGGACGGCCUCCUCCAUGCAACUAUGCUGUCAAUGGGCAUGACUACAAUAUGGGCUACUAUCUAUUCAUGGUACCUAUCCUGUAUGUGUGGUCUUCAUGAAGACCAUCAUCGAGCUAGCUGGUCAUAAAAAAGCUCACUUUUUCCAAUGAUAAGAAGGAGUUAGAAAGGAUGUGGAGAGAACAUUUGGAGUGCUCCAAGCCUGUUUUGCAGUUGUUCGUAGACCUGCUAAACAAAUGGGAUCUGGAGACCUUGUGGAACCUGAUGACAUAUUGUGUGAUCAUGUAUAACAUGAUCAUGGAGGAUGAGGAUGAAGGUGAUGACAGAGGUCUGAAAUUUGACCACAUGGGUGAUCUUAUUCUACUUCCAAAUCAGAAUCCGGCCGCGUUUGAUGAGUUUGUCCAAAUGUGUCAAUAAAUUCGAGGUUGAGCAAUUUAUGAGCAGCUCAAGAAUGAUCUGAUUGAGCAUCUGUGGACGGUUAAAGAGGACAACUAGAACAUAUGUGUGAGUUGAAUUCACAUUUGAACUAUUUUAUUUCAAAACUAGUUGGAUUGUCAUAUUUAAAUUUGAACUAUUGUCGCAUUUGGAUAUUUUCCCUCAUCGAAGGUUUGAGAUGCUAUUAUUUUAAGCAUUGCCGACUUCAAAACAGGGCUGAACGUUUAGGUGACAGGGUUGGUUGGCCAGCCCCCAUAUCCGUGUCUACGAUGACUCUGCACUAGUCCGUGGACAAAUAAUGUGUCGAUUUUCAGGGUCAGCGUUCAAGAUGCCCUUAGAGCAUCUCUAGCAGACCCCAUAUAGUGCCGACCCGCAAAAUGCGUUUACAGUUCGCGGAAAACCGUAUUUGUGGGUCGGCGCGGGUGGGGGCCGAGCAGACGCCGCAAAGUGGAUCCGUAAAGUCCAUUUUUACGGACCCGGUUUGCGGGGUCUGCUCGGCCCCCGCCCGCUCCGGCCCGCAAAUCAGUAAUUUUUAUUUCAAUUUCAGACAUGAAAAUACAUUUCUUUGCUUCUUUAUUUUCUUCCACGACAUUGGAUACAUAGUAAUUCACCAAACCUUUGCUAGAAUAGCAAGACCAAAGAAAACAAAAAACCACAAUUAGGCAUUUUAGAAGAUAUUCAACUUCCAUAACUACGCCCACUAGUUGGACCAAUAUCUUCUCCAUGCCUUCAUUGUUGAUAUGCGGAUUCUUGGUCUUGCAUUCUUCAUUCUUCUUUUUUGAUUCUAAAGAAGUAGAGGUUGCUUCCCCUCUAGUUUCUUCUCUAAUUGCACAUGCAGCCGCACCAUUAGCCUCAAUUCUACCAACGAGUGGACGGACAUCUAUUAAGUUUCUUUCUAUCAAUAAAUCGAUGUAAUCUUCUUCCCAAAAUCAAAAUGAGCAUCCACCCUCCUACACACAUGACCAUCUCAAUAAGCUAUCAAAUUUGAACCGAAUAGGUUGGCAAAGCCGAAUGAAACAAGAACAUACCCCGUCGUUUUCGCAUUUGAAAAAUACCAAUCCGGGGUGUUUCGGCAUGCUAGAUGUUAGCCGCAGCACUGUAUGCGUGCAGUUGUCGCAUAGUAUGAGAAGCAUCGGCGACCCGACGAGCCGCUGGGAGACCGCUGAGCCCAGGCAACGGCCGGCCGAGUCCUUGCUGGCACACCGACGACGGCGGCUAGAGGAGGAACCAGUACCUGCAUGCGGUACUAGGGAUUUGCCGGGGUUGGUCGGGGUGCUCCCCGACCAAUCCAUGGCUUGGCGCAGCCACCGAUGCCCGAAAACGCCAAAUCCGGCCGCCGCAACAAACAACCGUCGAGCUGCAACUUUCCGGCCCGCCGAGGCCGGAGGAAGUGGCGGAGGACAAUCUCGGGCUUGUGACGGUCCUCCGGCAUGAUCCCGCCGGCUAGUAUGGCCGGAAUCGACGGCGGCGACACGACGACGGGGGGUGGGAAAAGCGCGUGGCGAGGGGGAGAGGGGCGGCGGUGGGUGGGGAAAAGCGCGGGCUGAAAUGUCACCCCCGCCAACAGGUACCGCUAUAUACAGGUCACCAAUGGGGCAAAGGAGGGAACCCCCAUUUUCGCGGGUUGGGGUGGGAAUUAUGCCGCGCCCCGCAAAUUUUUUUACGGAUCCGACACGUUUACGGGGUCUGAUCGGGCAUCAUUUUCCGUACGGACCCGUAUUUUGGCGGUUAUUUGCGGGUCGAGGCAUUAUGCGGGGUCUGCUAGAGAUGCUCUUAUGUUUGUUGUUUUUGACCUCAUUUACGGGAAGCACACAAAAUGGUCAAAAUGAUCACAUGGCAACUUGUUGGAAUAAUUUCACCUCGUUGUAAUCACCUUCUUCUGAAAAACAAAAAUCUAGAACUUUCUUGGAGGCAUAUAAAAACAAAUCAUGCAAAAAAUGCCCUGCGUUCAAUAUAUAAAAUUCUAUGCUAUUAAUAUUAAAAAUAUCAUGCUCCUAUGAGUAAAAAUGUCAUGUUGUUAACAUAAAAAAUGCCAUGCUUUUCUUUGAAUGGAUAAAUGUCAUGGUCCUAAUAGUAAAAAUGUCAUGCUAUUAAGAUUUAAAAUGUCAUGCUCUUAACAGUGAAAAUGUCAUGCUAUUAAUAAUAAAAAUGUCAUGCUCUUAACAGUAAAAAUGUCAUGCUAUUAAUAUUAAAAAUUCCAUGCUCUUUUUAAGGGAAAAGACAUGCUAUUAAUAGUUAAUGUGACAUACUCUUAAACAAUAAAAUUGCGAUUGUAAAAUAAAAUAAAAUUGUGAUGGUUAAAUAAAAUAAAAUAGUCGUACUGUGUACUUUCUUUGGAAAAAAUAUAUAAGAACCACACAAAAAGGAAAUACCAUGAUUCGAGAAUUAAAAUUUCCAUGCCAUUUAAAAUAAAUUUACCAUAUGUUAUAGUUAAAAAAUGCCAAGUUCAUAAAAACAAUUCUAGGCUCUUAACGAUAAAAACGCCAUGCUAUAAAUAAUGAAGCUGCCAUGCUCUUAAAAGAUGCCACGGUCUAAAAAAAGAAAUACCGCCGAUUUUUUUUGCCAUAGAGUAAAUAAUACAAAUGCCAAGCUACCUACACUAAAACUACCGUGGUCUAAUUAAUAAUAAUGCAAUGGUCUAACAAAUAGAAGUGCUAUGCUAGCUUAGUCAUGUGAACAUGUAAAAAAAGGAGUUUUGGUUAUAUACUGUUUUGAAAAACAGACGGAAAAUUCACAGUAACCAUGGCAACUAGUUUGACAUGGCAAAAUGUGGAUGGGACAAAAAUUCUACGAUAUUUGUUAGGAGCAUUGUACAAAGAAUUUCCCAUGAGGCAAAAAUCCUAUGACACACGCUUAGUGAUGGAAAAAACUCACCAAGUUUGAGUUGACAAGAAAGUGAUAAACAAAAAUAAUACUUGAAUGUAGAAAAAAUAUUGAUGUGCAUGGCAAAAAGUAACUUAAAUUUGCUAAUGGGAAAAAUCUACAAGGGGACAAAGCAUUUCAGCGCAUGUCAAAAAGUAACUUAAAUUUGGCAAUGAAAAAAUAUAGAGGAAUGUUAAACAUUGUAUUAUGACGUGUGCGUGUGUAUGGUUGUUGUAAUAUGGUUAGGCUUAGAGAUAUGAUCCCAUAGUUUGUUAGAUUACUUGGAGAUCAAUCCUAGCCUAACUAACCCUUGUAAUCUCUUGGCCUUGAGCCCUAUAUUAACACGCACGCGUCCCUGCAGCUAUGCAUACGCUUAAGCCUAGUUUUCUACAUGGUAUCAGAGCCGCUCCCUUCCAUCACAUCUAGAUGUCUUCAUCGUCCUCCUCCGCCAUGGCCACACCCUCCCUCGCAUCCCUCGGCCAUACCAUCACGGAAAAGCUGAACCGUGAGAACUUUCUUGCCUGGAGGGCGCAGGUACUACCGCAUGUUCACGCGGCGGGCAUGAUGGGGUUCCUGGACGGUUCCCAGAAGGAACCCGACGCCAAGAUCCGCACGGAGAAGGACGUCGCCGGCAAGAAGGAGGUCACCGUCGCCGCCAACCCAGAGCACGCCAUCUGGGUUACCCAGGACCAGCAGGUGCUCUCGUUUUUGAUCGCUUCCCUUUCUCGCGAAGUGCUCCUGCAGGUCAGCAACUGCACGACGGCCGCCGCCACCUGGAGCGCUCUUCUCCAGAGCUUCUCCUCGCAGUCCCGUGCUCGCAUCAUCCAGCUCCGCGAUCAGAUCGGCCACACCAAGAAGGGUGACAUGACGGCGGCUGCCUACUUCACCAAGAUGAAGGGGCUCGCUGACGAACUUGCAGCCGCUGGGAGGCCUCUGGAUGAAGAUGAUGUUGUUUCUCACAUCAUCCAGGGGCUCAUGCACGAGCCGGAGUACAGCGGGUUCGUCUCCGCCGUCUCCACGUGCACCAUCACCGACCAGCCCAUCGGCCUAGGCGAGUUAUUCUCGCUACUGCUUGCUGCUGAGUCACGCAUCGCCGCACAGACCUCCGCCUACUCCACCAACCUUGCUGCAAAAGGUAGAGGCCGUGGCAACUCCAACCAGGGAGGCCCUCGUGGUGGCGGCAAUAGCGGCUCCCGUGGCUACAACAACAACAACAACACGGGCGCCCGCUUCUUCGACAAGUACUCUGGUGGUGGCGGCUCUGGCGGAGCGCCUCACCAGGGUGGUGAUCGCGUUGACUGUGGUGACCGCGAGAAGUGUCAAAUCUGCAAGAACGAGGGGCAUGGUGCAUGGCGCUGCAAGAAGCGCUACGACCGCAACUUCAACAACAAUGUGCGUAACCCUGCUGGUGGUGGAGGUGGUGGUGGCGGCGGUGGGAACCGUUCUGCCAAUGCCGUCCACUCCUAUGGAGUUGAUACCAAUUAGUAUCUCGACUCCGGCGCAACCAAUCACGUGACCGGUGAGCUGGAGAAGCUUGCUGUUCAUGACUGUUACACCGGCCCGGAGCAAAUCCACACCGUAAGUGGUCAAGGUAUGGACAUUGCACAUGUCGGUCAUUCAGUUCUAUCUACUCCUCAUGGCUCCUUAGAUCUCAAGAAUAUACUUCACUCUUCGCAUGACAACAAAAUUUUACUUUCUGCCUAUCAACUCAUCAAAGAUAAUCAUGCUUUUCUUGAGAUUUACCCUGAAACCUUUUUUGUUAAGGAUCGGGCCACUCGGAGGACCAUUCUUCAAAACAAGAGUAGGGGUGGCUUAUUUCCUAUUUCUGGCCGGCAAGAUGCUCCUUCUUCACAAGUCCUAAGUGUGAUCAAACCAUCUACUUCACGGUGGCACAAGCGCUUAGGACAUCCUGCAUUACCGGUGGUUCAGAAAAUUCUUCGAGAUUUUAGUCUUCCUGUGUCAAUUAAACAAGAUCAUUUGCUGGUUUGUGAUGCUUGCCAGAUGGCCAAGAGCCAUCAACUUCCCUAUCCUAAGUCUUUUAGUGUGUCAAAAGCUCCUUCAGAGCUUAUUUUUUCGGAUGUAUGGGGUCCUGGACCCGUCUCUGUAGGCAGACAAAAAUAUUAUGUGAGCUUUAUUGAUGAUUUUAGCAAGUUUAGUUGGAUUUAUUUGCUCAAAAAUAAGUAUGACGUGUUUGAGAAAUUUCAUCUCUUUCAACAGCAUGUUGAACGCCUCUUUGAUCGCAAAAUUCUUGCUAUGCAAACGGAUUGGGGGGGGGGGGUGAGUAUCAAAAACUCAAUCCCUUUUUUGAACGCAUUGGCAUCACUCAUUACGUCUCAUGUCCACAUGCUCACCAGCAGAAUGGAUCUGCAGAACGGAAGCACCGGCAUAUCGUGGAAGUUGGUCUGUCCCUCCUUGCUCAUGCCUUUAUGCCCUUAAAAUUUUGGGAUGAGGCGUUCCUUACAGUUGUGUAUCUUAUCAACCGUGUUCCUAGCAGGGUUAUCAAAAACCAAACUCCACUUGAACGUCUCUUUGGCAAGAAACCUGACUAUACCUUUCUCCGCAUCUUUGGGUGUGCCGUUUGGCCUAAUCUGCGUCCUUUCAAUAAGCACAAACUUGAAUUUAGGUCAAAACAAUGUGUCUUCUUGGGGUAUAGUAGCCUACACAAGGGAUACAAGUUCCUCGAUGUAGCCUCUGGUCGUGUCUAUAUUUCUAGGGACGUCGUCUUUGAUGAACAUGUGUUUCCUUUCGCCACCCUCCAUCCCAAUGCUGGUGCUCAACUACGCAAAGAGCUCACUCUGUUGCCAGUUCAUCUUCUUCCAUCUCCUCGUUUUGAUCAAGGGGGAGUAGUAGAUGUUGCUGACCACAUGUCUAUGUCUAAUAAUACCUUUGAUCAAAACCUUGAUGCAAGUAUGCAGGAAAACGGAGAAGAUUUUGGACAAAAUUCGCAUGAUUUUAUGCAUGCAGAAACGACAGAAGAGGCUGCAGAAGAUCCAGACGUCAAUCCCGGGGCGAAUCAUUCGGGAUCCGUGGCGCCAGAUGCGUCAGUCGGCGCAGAUGCAGGAGAAUCCCCGGCGGGAUCCGCGCCAUCUCCUGAUUCGGCAGCAGACCCGUCUCGAUCAUGCAGCGGGCCCGCGGUCCGUCGCAUCGCCCGACAGCCAGCCUCGGCGGGGCCUGGUGGCCCACUCCCACACGCGGGCGGUCGACCCUCGGAUGUGGACGAGUGGAGGCCACGUCACGCGGGCGGGAACGCGCCCAACAGGACGCUGCCGGCCAGCCCAGGCGCGCCAAGUGGCAGUUCUGGAGAGGCGAUCCCAUCUCCCGAUCUGGAUCCUCUACAGGAGCUCUCUCAAGGAUCUUCUGCGGAUGAUUCUGGUGCAGCCGUGUCGUGUUCUUCAAAUCGUCUUCUACAACAACUUGAUCGACCAGCUCCGCCACCUCCUGUGCGCUCCAACACCAGGUCUCAAAGUGGUAUUGUUAAACCUAAAAUAUAUAAAGAUGGCUUUGUACGUUGGGGCUCGUUUUGUGCAACAGGUGAACCACAAAAUUUUGGAGAAGCAUUGGGUGAACCUCAUUGGAGGGAGGCAAUGGAUGAAGAGUAUGCUGCUUUAAUGAAGAAGAAAACUUGGCGUCUAGUUCCACCAGUCAGAGGCAGAAAUGUAAUUGACUGCAAGUGGGUCUAUAUGGUAAAGAGGAAAUCUGAUGGCACCAUUGACAGAUACAAGGCAUGUCUGGUUGCUAAAGGAGUUAAGCAGAGGUAUGGGAUUGACUAUGAGGAUACAUUUAGUCCAGUGGUAAAAGCUGCUACUAUUAGAUUGAUUCUUUCAGUUGUAGUAUCUAGAGGUUGGUGCAUAAGACAACUAGAUGUAAAGAACGCGUUCUUGCAUGGUGUUCUGGAAGAGGAAGUAUUCAUGAGACAACCUUCUGGGUAUUAGAAUCCAAAUGCACCACGUCAUAUUUGCAAACUUGAUAAGGCACUAUAUGGACUAAAACAAGCACCUAGAGCUUGGUACUCUCGGCUCUCCUCUAAGUUACAAUCACUUGGAUUUACUCCCUCAAAGGGAGAUACCUCAUUGUUUUUCUAUCACCGACGUGGGAUAACCAUUUUUAUGCUUAUUUAUGUUGAUGAUAUAGUUGUCACCAGUUCAUCAUCUAAAGCAGUUGAAGCUCUUCUUAUGGACUUGAGCAAGGAGUUUGCACUUAAGGAUCUUGGUAGUCUUCACUUCUCCCUUGGAAUUGAGGUAAAGAAUGCAAAAGAUGGAAUUGUGUUGUCACAAGGAAAAUAUGUGCAGGAAAUACUUCAGAGAAUGGGCAUGAAAGAAUGUAAGCCGUCAUCUACACCUUUAUCUACCUCUGAGAAAAUGUCUCUUCAUGAUGGAGAGAGCCUUGGAGCAGAGGACUCCACCAGGUACGGAAGUAUUGUAGGAGCAUUACAGUAUUUGACAUUAACUAGACCAGAUAUCUCAUAUUCAGUAAAUAAAGUAUGUCAGUUCUUACAUGCUCCUACUAGUGCACAUUGGACUGCAGUAAAGAGGAUACUUAGAUAUCUUCAAGGGACCCAGAGUCAUGGAUUGAAAAUUGGAAAGUCAGACUCGAUGCUUGUAAGUGCAUUUUCAGAUGCAGAUUGGGCAGGAUGUCCUGAUGAUAGAAGAUCAACAGGAGGCUUUGCAGUGUUUCUUGGCAGUAAUCUGAUUUCUUGGAGUGCUCGCAAGCAGCCAACGGUAUCCAGGUCAAGUACAGAAGCUAAGUACAAGGCGUUAGCUAAUGCCACUGCAGAGAUUAUCUGGGUUCAGAAUUUGCUAACAGAGUUGGGUGUUUCUCAUCCAACAGCAGCAUCACUUUGGUGUGACAAUCUUGGUGCAACCUAUUUGUCUGCUAACCCUAUCUUCCAUGCGAGGACGAAGCAUAUUAAAAUUGACUACCACUUUGUUCGAGAAAGAGUGGCUGAUAAACUGCUGAAUAUCAGGUUCAUACCUACGGGUGAUCAGGUGGCGGAUGGGUUUACUAAACCUCUCACCUUGCGGCAAUUAGAAGCUUUUAGGCACAAUCUCAACUUAGAAAGCUGUGAUUGAGGGGGUGUGCUAAACAUUGUAUUAUGACGUGUGCGUGUGUAUGGUUGUUGUAAUAUGGUUAGGCUUAGAGAUAUGAUCCCAUAGUUUGUUAGAUUACUUGGAGAUCAAUUCUAGCUUAACUAACCCUUGUAAUCUCUUGGCCUUGAGCCCUAUAUUAACACGCACGCGUCCCUGCAGCUAUGCAUACGCUUAAGCCUAGUUUUCUACAAGGAAGACAAAACAUUAAUGUGCAAGGCAGAACGUCUGCUAAUUAUGUUGGCAAGUACUCCCUCCGUCACAUAAUGUAAUAUGCUUUUUGACACUAGUCCAGUGUCAAAAAACGUCCUACAUUAUGGAACGGAGGGAGUACAUCAUUUGGGGAGAUGUCUGCCUGUCUGAAGAUUUUUGAGUUUCUGGUCCCAGAUUUUCCACACAACAAUGAGUACAACGAACUUGUCGAGAUAGUGUAGGGUGCUGAUGUCGGCUGUAUGCCGAUCUUCCACCAUAUCCUGGAAGCAGCAAGGCAAUGAAAAAAUAGUGCUGAUUCUGCUUUGAGUUAGUCUGUCCAGGUUGGGAGCUGGCCGAAUAUUCUGACUUUGGCUAGCACCCUUGCCUCCAAAAUGAGCUGGAGCAUCGUUGCUGAUUCAUGGGGGUAGAGGAAAGAGUAGUACCCGCCUCCAGGGGGCGUUGAGGGUGAAGAGUGCCUCCGCGUCAUCCAUUCUCAGCUGGCGUGCCAUGGGACCUCUCGGGGGAUGUCCGCACCGUCUGAACUGCCUAGACGGCGCGCGCCCGAGCGACCCGCCUCGUCGGUCCUUGACAAUUGACAGGUGGACCGCAGGUGUCCCCCGGGCCAUCGUCAUGGGGGGCUUUCGGACGCACCCGCGAGCGAGGCCCGUGCGAUGGGAAGGCUGGACCCGCCUGUCUCCGUCCUCGCCCCAUGUUGGGCUAGUUCGGUCGCGACAGGCAGGGCCUGCGUACCGCCCGGGGCGCCAAGUCACGCGUGGGUCUAGGUCCUCUCGAUAGUUGGCGCGAGGGUUAGGCCGGGCCUAUCUAUGAGGGGCUGUUUUGCUCGCGCCAACCAACCUUUUUGCUUCGUGCAAGGCGGGUGCGCGAGGUCGCCCCUGCUGGUGUAUGUGGUUGGAAAGGGUCGUCCGGCCGGGGUCACAAUGGUGCACAAUUAUCAAGGCUGGGUCCACCUGUCAGUUCCCAUUGCAUAUUGCCGGGUCGCCUCACUCUUGCCACGUGCGAGACGGGUGGACAGAGAGGGCCAUCCGAAUAGGAUCUGGCUUGCGUGCUCCCUUCUCAUGCUCCCAUCCGUGCUCCCACCUUAUUCUACGGCUGUCUUUUUUCUUUUUUCCUUUCUAAUCUAAUCAUCUUCCUCCUGAUUUUAAGNNNNNNNNNNNNNNNNNNNNNNNNNNNNNNNNNNNNNNNNNNNNNNNNNNNNNNNNNNNNNNNNNNNNNNNNNNNNNNNNNNNNNNNNNNNNNNNNNNNNNNNNNNNNNNNNNNNNNNNNNNNNNNNNNNNNNNNNNNNNNNNNNNNNNNNNNNNNNNNNNNNNNNNNNNNNNNNNNNNNNNNNNNNNNNNNNNNNNNNNNNNNNNNNNNNNNNNNNNNNNNNNNNNNNNNNNNNNNNNNNNNNNNNNNNNNNNNNNNNNNNNNNNNNNNNNNNNNNNNNNNNNNNNNNNNNNNNNNNNNNNNNNNNNNNNNNNNNNNNNNNNNNNNNNNNNNNNNNNNNNNNNNNNNNNNNNNNNNNNNNNNNNNNNNNNNNNNNNNNNNNNNNNNNNNNNNNNNNNNNNNNNNNACGGAUGGACGCACGCGUGGGGAACAGGCAAGUCUCGUCCAUCCGAAUAGGGGUGCGGCGGUGAUCCAGCUGGCUGGCUAGCGCCCAGCUGUAUCUUAAUGCAGCCCCGAGAGUAGCUUGGUCUUUUUUCUUAAAGCUGUUGUGUCUUGCUAUAAGUUUGCAGUUUUAUGCCGCACUCGAAUGGCGUAUGCGUUGGCCUCCCCCUCGUUUUGCCUUGCACCUUCUGCUCCUGAGGGCUCUUUGCAUGUUGCCGAUGGCCAUGGUGGAACGCAUCUCCGACGUCUUCCUUCUUGCAUGGAUGUGCAACGGUUUCAUUUUCUCCAGCCUUAAUAGGCAUGCGGUUCACCGUCAGCUGGCUCACUAUCUCUGUUUUGGGUGGCUGGCUCCUUUGCUCAUUGUUCGUGUUUGUAUUUCAUCAUUUUGGCGACUUUGUGCAUUGAUCGUCCAGAGGUCCCACGACGCUGGCUGCACGCCAUGGAAUCCGGUUGCCUACCCGGCAAUGCUGAACAUCUAUGCUGCCAUUUAGAAGACCAGCCAGGUUAAAUGAGUAACUGGCUUGUCGGAGAUCUUGGAUUAUCGCCUUUGUAGGAGACGAUGCAACUUACACGUCUCAAACCUAUCUAUGACUUUUGAUUGUUUAAUGUUAUUAUAUUAUCAUUUUUAUAUACCUUUUAUAUCAAUUUAUAUUAUUAUUAUUGUGCACCAACUUAUUAAUGUAGUCACCAGUGCUAGUUCUUGUUUUCUGCUUGCUCUUGGUUUCACAGAAAAUCAAUAUCUAUGGAGGUCAAAAUACGUUGCUGAUUUAACAUGAUUUUUUGGUCCACAAAAGCACUGGAACCUUCGUGAGGAGUCGAGACGGGCCACGAGGGGCCCACAUGGAAAGCAGGCACGGCCAGGGGGUGGUCUCCCCCUCAUUCAUGUCAGGUCCACAGAUACCGCAUUGACCUGAUUUCACUACAAAAAUCCCUAAAAAUACAGAAACCAUUCAUCAUGCCUCCAGAAGAAUUUUAUCGCCGCCACAAGUCUCUGUUCUAAAGAGAUUUCAUCUGAAGCCCUGUUCCAGAGCACAGCCGGAGGGGGAAGCCAUUGCCAGUGGCCACUUCAUCAACCUUGUUGUCUACAUGACCAUGUGUGAGUAAUUCCUUUAGAACCUAUACAAAUGCAUAGUCGUAGCUAGAUGGUUCUCUCUCUCUUUUGGAUCUUCAAUACCAUGUUCUCGUUCUUGAUCGGUGGUGUGUUUGUUGAGACAUGCAUGAUGAAUUGUGACUAUAUGAUCAGAUUUUUGACUGAACUUAUUUGGUUUUCCUUAUUGCACAAUUAAAUACCUUUGUAUUUCUCUCCGAUUAUCUUUGUUGGCCAAGUUCGAUCGAUUUAUCUUCAAUGGAGAUGUGCCUUGUAGGGGGUUCAAUCUUGCGGUGAUCUAACCCAGUAACAAUAAGGGCCAAGACAUGUAUUUUAUUGUUGUCACUAAGGAUAAAAUGACGGAGUUUUGUCAUAUUGAUUGACUUCUUGCACAAAAUCAAUUGCGGGGACAAAUUCUCUACCAUAUUUGGCAAUUGCCAAACAUAACAGUGUUGUGCCUAAUCGAAAGGGAGCUACUACAUGUCAGUCGAUGAAAAAAAAUUGGGCCAGUUGCUCGUUGCAGUCAAGCCUGCAACUGGAUGACGACCUCACAUUAUAAGCUACCGUCUGCACAUAUGCACAUAUAGUAACUUCUACUCAGUCCUGCCCCUAUGUACAUAGUACUACACAGUUCUAUCCCUACAAUAGUACACAACCCUGUCACUACAAAGUAGUUCCUAGAAGCAUGUCUACACAUGAGCUAGCUUGGCAUGUUGGCUGGCUAGCCACCUGUCAUUUUUAAGAAGAAACCGAAUAGUUGGGUCUUUACACACCCAUGUACUUAUUGACGCAUAAGUGGCUCUCCUUCAGGACCGUGGUCCGUUACUUCUAAAUUAUAUGGUUUUGCAGAUGAACUAACUACCUACCCCUCGCAAAAAAAACUAACUACCUACUAUUUGCUCGUCAAUAUUUUUUUUUAUAAUAUAGUCGAUUCAGAUCCAUAGUUUGAUUUCGAAUGGUACAUAUGUGUUUUUCUCCUCCAGCCACCAAGCUUUCUUUCUUAAGGCCAAUGACUACUGCCACGGGAGAAAACCAUCCCUCUAAAGCACCCUACCCUAGUAUCACCCAGCCUAACACGCAAACCUCUAACCCCAAGCCUCAACACUAAUUGGUAACAUCUAAUUACUCCUUGUUGUCGCCGUCACAUGAGCUCCACUCUGCAUCAUCACCUUCGAAAUUUCACCAGUACGAUGAGUUGUUGGAUAUUGGAGAUAUAUUCAAGCAGAGUUAACGCAUAGUACAUCUAUAUAUAGAUUGAUAAAUGUAUUCUUUUUACUUCAUUUCCAUGUCAGAGAGUAGUGUUUUUCUUUAGAAAAGUUGAAUCGUCUUGCGGAAACUAUCCCACGGGUUAUAGUGGAGUGAUCGAUCUAGUGCUAAAACCUCAUUUUUGUUUCAUGCCUCUUUUGGUAUUGCAUUAUAUUACAGUUAUAGAUUUCUCAAUUGCAAGUUAUAUUUAGUUUUUCCAUUUUCUGCUCUUAUCAUUGUCAAGUUGUAGAUGUAUGCUAUUUGAUAUGUUCCACGCAUGGCAAUGCAAGACGAUAAAUUAUUCGUCGAUAAAUAAACCCAGCUCACAAAUCUGGUACAUCACAAUUGUUACUACCGAAGUUAUUGCCACUCGCCUAUUUCACCUUGGCGAAUGAGAGGAGCUGGCGUUUGUGAGUCCACGUCUGCUCGUACACCUCUGCCUUGUACUUGUCUUCUUUCCCGCCAAUGUCUGAUGCCUCGAUGAUGAGUUCGUAGUUCAUUCCAGAAACAAGUUGUUGCCUGCCACUUACCACCUUGUUGAACUUGAGCACGCAGUUCACAUGCUUGCCGAACUCCAACACCGCCCAACGGCCGAGCUCUUGGAUGUGUUGGUUGUUGAUGUUUCCGAUUGGUUCCCAUCCAUUCUCUAUUGCCGUGUUCCGCAAUUGGUUGCCCAUCCGUUCCCCACAGCCUAUGGCGGGUGAGCCGAUGGCAUAGAGGAACGCAACAACGAUGAUGAGGAGGAAGCUAGAUGUCCUCAUGGCUAUUGGAUUGUCUAGUGGGGUUCUUGAUCUUGAGAUAGUUAUGUGGGACUUUGGUGAAUUGGUGAUGUGAGUGGAUCCAAAACAAUUGAGGUAGCGGUGCUUAAAUAGACAUUGUUAUAAGAGGCAAAAUUUAAUUGGAUGCUUAUCCAAGUAGGCAUUUACAAUGGCAUUUAUGACAACCUUUUAUACAGGGGCAAACUUUAUUCAAAAGUUAAUCAAUUGGAUCCAUAUCCGAAGGCUUUGACCUACUUAAAUUUAGAAAGGUUUAAAUACAUGCUUUUUAGAUGGUUGCAUUUCAUAGGAAAGGUAGUAACUAGUGCACCCACUAACAGGUUUUGAGUAAUAUCUUCUCCAUAAAAUGGUCGAAACUUAAAUGAAUUGGCCUAAGAUAAAGAAGAUAGGCAUUAUUGUUGGAGAACGUAGUAAUUUCAAAAUUUUCCUACGCACACACAGGAUCAUGGUGAUGCAUAGCAACGAGUGAGGAGAGUGUUGUCCACGUACCCUCGUAGACCGAAAGCGGAAGAGUUAGCACAACGUGGUUGAUGUAGUUGUACGUCUUCACGAUCCGACCGAUCCAAGUACCGAAUGCACGGCACCUUCGAGUUCAGCACACGUUCAGCUUCGAGGGAGAGUUCCAUCAGCACGACGGUGUGAUGACGGUGAUGAUGAUGCUACCGACGCAGGGCUUCGCCUAAGCACCGCUACGAUAUGAUUGAGGUGGAUUAUGGUGGAGGGGGCACCGCACACGGCUGGGAGAGAUCAACAGAUCAACUUGUGUGUCUAGAGGUGCCGCCCUGCCCCCAUAUAUAAAGGAGGGAGGGAGAGGCCGGCCCUAGAGGAGGCACGCCAAGUGUGGGGAGUCCUACUAGGACUCCCAAGUCCUAGUAGGAUUCCCCUUUCCUUUCCGGAGUAGGAGAGAAGGAAAGAGGGGGAGAGGGAGAAGGAAAAGGGGGCUGCACCCCUUGUCCAAUUCGGACCAGAGGGGGGGCGCGCGCCUCCUUCCUUUUGGCCUCUCUCCUCUAUUCCCGUAUGGCCCAAUAAGGCCCAAUACUUCUCCCGGUGAAUUCCCAUAACUCCCCGGUACUAAGAAAAUACCCGAAUCACUCGGAACCUUUCCGAUGUCCGAAUAUAGUCGUCCGAUAUAUCAAUCUUUACGUCUCGACUAUUUAGAGACUCCUCGUCAUGUCCCCGAUCUCAUCCGGGACUCCGAACUACCUUCGGUACAUAAAAUCUCGUAAACUCAUAAUACAAUCAUCACCGAAACUUUAAGCGUGCGGACCCUACGGGUUCGAGAACUACGUAGACAUGACCGAGACACGUCUCCAGCCAAUAACCAAUAGCGGAACCUGGAUGCUCAUAUUGGCUCCCACAUAUUCUAUGAAGAUCUUUAUCGGUCAAACCGCAUAACAACAUACGUUGUUCCCUUUGUCAUCGGUAUGUUACUUUCCCGAGAUUCGAUCGUCGGUAUCUCAAUACCUAGUUCAAUCUCGUUACCAGCAGGUCUCUUUACUCGUUCCGUAAUACAUCAUCUCGCAACUAACUCAUUAGUCACAUUGCUUGCAAGGCUUAUAGUGAUGUGCAUUACCGAGAGGGCCCAGAGAUACCUCUCCGACAAUCGGAGUGACAAAUCCUAAUCUCGAAAUACGCUAACCCAACAAGUACCUUUGGAGACACCUGUAGAGCACCUUUAUAAUCAUCCAGUUACGUUGUGAUGUUUGGUAGCACACAAAGUGUUCCUCCGGUAAACGGGAGUUGCAUAAUAUCAUAGUUAUAGGAACAUGUAUAAGUCAUGAAGAAAGCAAUAGCAGAAUACUAAACGAUCAAGUGUUAUGCUAACAGAAUGGGUCAAGUCAAUCACAUCAUUCUCCUAAUGAUGUGAUCCCGUUAAUCAAAUGACAACUCAUGUCUAUGGUUAGGAAACUUAACCAUCUUUGAUUAACGAGCUAGUCAAGUAGAGGCAUACUAGUGACACUAUGUUUGUCUAUGUAUUCACACAUGUAUUAUGUUUCCGGUUAAUACAAUUCUAGCAUGAAUAAUAAACAUUUAUCAUGAAAUAAGGAAAUAAAUAAUAACUUUAUUAUUGCCUCUAGGGCAUAUUUCCUUCAGUCUCCUACUUGCACUAGAGUCAAUAAUCUAGUUCACAUCGCCAUGUGAUUUAACAUCAAUAGUUCACAUCUUUAUGUGGUUAACACCCAUAGUUCACAUCGAUAUGUGGCCAAUACCCAAAGGGUUUACUAGAGUCGGUAAUCUAGUUCACAUCGCUAUGUGAUUAACACCCAAAGAGUACUAAGGUGUGAUCAUGUUUUGCUUGUGAGAUAAUUUUAGUCAACGGGUCUGUCACAUUCAGAUCCGUAAGUAUUUUGCAAAUAUUUAUGUCUGCAAUGCUCUGCACGGAGCUACUCUAGCUAAUUGCUCCCACUUUCAAUAUGUAUCUAGAUCGAGACUUAGAGUCAUCCAGAUCGGUGUCAAACCUUGCAUCGACUUAAAUCUUUAAGACAAACCUUUUGUCACCUCCAUAAUCGAGAAACAUAUCCUUAUUCCGCUAAGGAUAAGUUUGACCGCUGUCUAGUGAUCUACUCCUAGAUCACUAUUGUACUCCCUUGCCAAACUCACUGUAUGGUAUACAAUAGGUCUGGUACACAACAUGGCAUACUAUAUAAUAGAGGUGAAUUUUGUUGGUCCUAAGACACAACACAAAAUUGUUUUGUCCUAAGCAAAACUUAACAAAGAAAAUACUAAACUAAUAAUUUUAACAGAAAAAAUAAAAUUUAAAACAACUAAGUUAACAUAAAGUAUUUUUCAUAAAGUUUUACUAGCAAAAGGAAACACAUAAAAAGCUAAAUUAAAACUCUAAUUAUGAUUAAAACAAAACUAGUAAGAAAAGAAAAAAAAAUUAUUUUUCUGUAAAUAAAAGUUCACCCUCUAAUACUACAGAAACAAAUCUGAACUAAAAUAUAAUAGAGGUGAAUUUUUUAAAACAUAAUUAAAACAGCAAAAACAUCAGCAAGCUAACCAAACUAGAAAAGCUUGUUUUCAAGUAAAACCAUUUUAAAUAAAAACUAUAAGUAUCCAAGUUAAUCCUACUGCUAGUCAAGGUCAAAACAAAGCAGUGACAAAAAGAAUCACUAAAAUAAAAUAAUCCUAACUCACUUUAUAGCAGAAAUACUAAUAUGAGUAAAACUAAUAUAAAACAAUUUUUAAAAACUAAAACAUGACCGAAUCUAUUUUUCUACAGAAACUACAAGAAAUUUGUAAACUAACAAAAAAAGAAUCAACUAAAAAUAUUAAACAACCUAAAAGAUAUAGACUUUACAAGAACAUAACUAUUCUAUUUUAAAAACAGAAACUGAGAAAAAACAAAAAAACAGGCGCUACUGGGCCUAUCUAACGCUCAGGCGAACACUAACUAAAACGCGCCCGCGGCUAAACAGAAUAACCGACCAGUUCGAUCAAUAAAAACAAACCGUAACUAAACCGGAAAAAGAUAGAACUAAAACCGAUCUAAACAAAUAAACCUAUCCCUUCGUGUGAUCUAAUCUAGGCCGUUCAUGCGCGAUCCAACGGUGGUGGGGGUUCCGGCGGCUUACAGCGACUCGACGGCGACGACGGACGACGGCGGCUCGGGCGGCGACGGCGCAGCAGCUCCGGUGGUCCGGGGCGACGGCGGUGACGUCGGGGAGAUGCGGCGGAGCGAGGCGAGGUCGAGGGUGGCAGUUGCUGCGGUCGGGGACGACGGAGUCGAGUGAAAUGAGCUCGGCGGGGCUCCUGGUGCUCUGCAACUCCGGCGACGGGCGGUGAUGCUCAAGGCAGCGACUCCGGCGAUCCCUGGGCGGAGAGAGGAUGUCAAAGAGGUGCGGGAGGAGGUGGCGGUUCGGGUGAUGAUUCUGGGAAGACAGAGAGUGCUCACCGGCGUAGGGAGUGGCGGCGAACCAAGGCGAUGGUGGCAAGAUGUGUUCGGCGAGGGCGUGGGCGGUGGUGGGUUUCGGGGUUAGGGUUUUAGGGGGAUCGAGAGAGGAGGCCGAGGGGUUUAUAUAGGGCAAGGUCUUGGAGGAGGGGGCGGCGCGGGAUCGCGAUCCCGAGAAGAUCGCGGUGUCGGGCGGCGGUGGUCGCGCUCUGGUGCGGGCAUGGCGUGGGCGAAGGGUAAGAGAUGAGGGCGGGCCCCGCGGUCAGUGAGAGAAGGAGAGGACGGUUCGGUCGGGCGACCGAAGCGGAGACGGCUCGGGCGUGCGCGAGGCUGGGCUGCGGCUCGGCUCGCUGCUGGGCCGCGUCAGGUGGCUGGCUGGGCCGCAUCGGGUGGCUAGCUGGGCCGGUUGGCCUGGCCAGCUCGGGGGUUUAUUUUCCUUUUUUUGAAAAUCAAAGAGAGAGAAAACUAAUAUAGAGAAAACUAUAGUAUUUUUAUAUANNNNNNNNNNNNNNNNNNNNNNNNNNNNNNNNNNNNNNNNNNNNNNNNNNNNNNNNNNNNNNNNNNNNNNNNNNNNNNNNNNNNNNNNNNNNNNNNNNNNNNNNNNNNNNNNNNNNNNNNNNNNNNNNNNNNNNNNNNNNNNNNNNNNNNNNNNNNNNNNNNNNNNNNNNNNNNNNNNNNNNNNNNNNNNNNNNNNNNNNNNNNNNNNNNNNNNNNNNNNNNNNNNNNNNNNNNNNNNNNNNNNNNNNNNNNNNNNNNNNNNNNNNNNNNNNNNNNNNNNNNNNNNNNNNNNNNNNNNNNNNNNNNNNNNNNNNNNNNNNNNNNNNNNNNNNNNNNNNNNNNNNNNNNNNNNNNNNNNNNNNNNNNNNNNNNNNNNNNNNNNNNNNNNNNNNNNNNNNNNNNNNNNNNNAUCUCAAAACGCAGAAAAAAUAAAUCCUACACCGUGUACAUUUUUCCAGAGGCAAAAUGCAAACUUAAGGAAAAACAUUUUUUUAUAAAUUCCAAAUAAACUCCUAUUUGAAUUCAAAAACUUUUGGCAUUAAUUUCUCCUGACUUUUUGGAGUGUCAUGUUAGCUCCUCUCAUACUUUUAAACAAGUAUUUGUCAGGGGUAUAUGAAAUAAAUUUCGAAUGGCAAGUUGAAUCCAAAUUCAAAUAAAAUUCAAAUGGCUCUGAAAUUUCCAAAUGCCACUCAAUUUCACACAAUCAGUCACACAACAUUCAAACAAACAAUAAUAAAUAUUUAUUUAACAUAGCAUUCCGAAAUUUAGAAUUUUGGGAUGUUACAAACCUACCACACUUAAAAUGAAUCUCGUCCUCGAGAUUCGAAGAGGCUAGCAAGAAAAGGUUAGGGUUUGGGGGUCUUCUAGCUAAUCCAUCAACCGGAGAGGUCUGGGGUGCUACCACACUUAGAAGCAUGCUUACGGUCCCAACAAAACUCGUGUACUCCAUUCCUUUGGGUUGUUGGUGUCGGUCUUCUUAUAUUCUCCGGGAUAACUCCUACACUGGGGCUCUUCUAGUAGGGCAUAACCUUUUCCUCAAACUCAUGUCCUUUCCUCCUGGUGAGGUUCUUCCGAUACUGGGUCUUCAUAGCAGACAAUUCUGUCACCAAUACUAAUCAACUAUCGAGAUCUCAUGGUGGUCAACCAUUACAGGUUUGUUCUGCGGGAAAAAUGAUUUGGGUUGAGUCUCACCAUAUAUCUACGAUUGACAACAGUUGCCUAUACAGGGGUCCAUCGUUCUACCAUUCUAUGGUUUCAACAAGGUUUUGACAUCGUCGUCUCUCUACUAUGGGUAAGUCACUCAGAUAUACCAUUCCAAAUAGCAAGAGCGAAUGACCAGAGUAAGUCGGUAUGGUGAUCAAUCCAUUCCGCACCCAAAUCAUUACUCUGUAUAGGGUUUAGCGAAUCUCGCAUUUCUAACACUCGGGAAUUCUCACAAGCAUUGCAUAAUUUCUCUUGUCGACGAACUUAGUUCGGAUAAUUCCAUUGAUUCUGCAAGCUGAAAAAAACAUCUAUCGUUACUUCCGAAUAAGAUGGGAUCUCAACAGAGUCUUCUUGAAUUCUUCCAAAGUUUUUGCUCUGUUGCAUCCUUGUAUGGCUUGAUGCAUUUUCCACCAGGUUCCAGCACUCUCGGUAAAAUAUUGAAGAGCAUAUUGAACCUCAUACUUCCUUGCAAUCAAAUUUUUCCCGAGGUGAUCCUCCAUGUUUUGAAUCCAAAGCUCUGUCUCCAACUGAGUCAUCGGUCCAUAGAACAGCAGACUGUCUUCCGUUAUCAUCUAUUGGGUCCUAGGGUUUUGGGAUGAGAUAGGAGAGAAGAAAAGGGAGAGAUACACACAAUACAAACAAUAGUUUUGAAGAAAACAUGUUUUAUUUUGUGGCGGUCAGAAAAACAUCAAACAAAUGACAACUCACAAAUCGUCGCAUCUAACGUAAGUAUAUAACAAACAAAUAAAUUGCAAAAUAACAAGGGACACCAAAUAAAACCAACAAAUAAAUUGCAAAAUAACAAGGGACACCAAAUAAGAACAAAGGAAAAACUACAACAAAACUACUAAAGAAACUCUAAGACAUAACACAAAACAGUUUUGUCCUAAGCAAAACUUAACAAAGAAAAUACUAAACUAAUAAUUUUAACAUAGCAUUCCAAAAUUUAGAAUUUUGGGAUGUUACAAACGUACCACACUUAAAAUGAAUCUCGUCCUCGAGAUUCAAAGAGGCUAGCAAGAAAAGGUUUGGGUUUGGGGGUCUUCUAGCUAAUCCAUCAACCGGAGAGGUCUGGGGUGCUACAACACUUAGAAGCAUGCUUACGGUCCCAACAAAACUCGUGUACUCCAUUCCUUUGGGUUGUUGGUGUCGGUCUUCUUAUAUUCUCCGGGAUAACUCCUACACUGGGGCUCUUCUAGUAGGGCAUAACCUUUUCCUCAAACUCGUGUCCUUUCCUCCUGGUGAGGUUCUUCCGAUACUGGGUCUUCUUAGCAGACAAUUAUGUCGCCAAUACUAAAUAACUAUCGAGAUCUCAUGGUGGUCAACCAUUACAGGUUUCUUCUGCAGGAAAAAUGGUUUGGGUUGAGUCUCCCCGUAUAUCCUACGAUUGGCAACAGUUGCGUAUACAGGGGUCCAUCGUUCUACCAUUCUAUGGUUUCAACAAGGUUUUGACAUCGUCGUCUCUCUACUAUGGGUAAGUCACUCAGAUUUACCAUCCAAAUAGCAAGAGCGAAUGACCAGAGUAAGUCGGUAUGGUGAUCAAUCCAUUCCGCACCCAAAUCAUUACUCUGUAUAGGGUUUAGCGAAUCUCGCAUUUCUAACACUCAGGAAUUCUCACAAGCAUUGCAUAAUUUCUCUUGUCGACGAACUUAGUUCGGAUAAUUCCAUUGAUUCUGCAAGCUGAAAAAAACAUCUAUCGUUACUUCCGAAUAAGAUGGGAUCUCAACAGAGUCUUCUUGAAUUCUUCCAAAGUUUUUGCUCUGUUGCAUCCUUGUAUGGCUUGAUGCAUUUUCCACCAGGUUCCAGCACUCUCGGUAAAAUAUUGAAGAGCAUAUUGAACCUCAUACUUCCUUGCAAUCAAAUUUUUCCCGAGGUGAUCCUCCAUGUUUUGAAUCCAAAGCUCUGUCUCCAACUGAGUCAUCGGUCCAUAGAACAGCAGACCGUCUUCCGUUAUCAUCUAUUGGGUCCUAGGGUUUUGGGAUGAGAUAGGAGAGAAGAAAAGGGAGAGAUACACACAAUACAAACAAUAGUUUUGAAGAAAACAUGUUUUAUUUUGUGGCGGUCAGAAAAACAUCAAACAAAUGACAACUCACAAAUCGUCGCAUCUAACGUAAGUAUAUAACAAACAAAUAAAUUGCAAAAUAACAAGGGACACCAAAUAAAACCAACAAAUAAAUUGCAAAAUAACAAGGGACACCAAAUAAGAACAAAGGAAAAACUACAACAAAACUACUAAAGAAACUCUAAGACAUAACACAAAACAGUUUUGUCCUAAGCAAAACUUAACAAAGAAAAUACUAAACUAAUAAUUUUAACAUAGCAUUCCAAAAUUUAGAAUUUUGGGAUGUUACAAACGUACCACACUUAAAAUGAAUCUCGUCCUCGAGAUUCAAAGAGGCUAGCAAGAAAAGGUUUGGGUUUGGGGGUCUUCUAGCUAAUCCAUCAACCGGAGAGGUCUGGGGUGCUACAACACUUAGAAGCAUGCUUACGGUCCCAACAAAACUCGUGUACUCCAUUCCUUUGGGUUGUUGGUGUCGGUCUUCUUAUAUUCUCCGGGAUAACUCCUACACUGGGGCUCUUCUAGUAGGGCAUAACCUUUUCCUCAAACUCGUGUCCUUUCCUCCUGGUGAGGUUCUUCCGAUACUGGGUCUUCUUAGCAGACAAUUAUGUCGCCAAUACUAAAUAACUAUCGAGAUCUCAUGGUGGUCAACCAUUACAGGUUUCUUCUGCAGGAAAAAUGGUUUGGGUUGAGUCUCCCCGUAUAUCCUACGAUUGGCAACAGUUGCGUAUACAGGGGUCCAUCGUUCUACCAUUCUAUGGUUUCAACAAGGUUUUGACAUCGUCGUCUCUCUACUAUGGGUAAGUCACUCAGAUUUACCAUCCAAAUAGCAAGAGCGAAUGACCAGAGUAAGUCGGUAUGGUGAUCAAUCCAUUCCGCACCCAAAUCAUUACUCUGUAUAAGGUUUGGCGAAUCUCGCAUUUCUAACACUCAGGAAUUCUCACACGCAUUGCAGAAUUUCUUUUGUCGACGAACUUAGUUCGGAUAAUUCCAUUGAUUCUGCAAGCUGAACAAAACAUCUAUUGUUACUUCCGAAUAAGACGGGAUCUCAACAGAGUCUUCUUGAAUUCUUCCAAAGUUUUUGCUCUGUUGCAUCCUUGUAUGGCUUGAUGCAUUUUCCACCAGGUUCCAGCACUCUCGGUAAAAUAUUGAAGAGCAUAUUGAACCUCAUACUUCCUUGCAAUCAAAUUUUUCCCGAGGUGAUCCUCCAUGUUUUGAAUCCAAAGCUCUGUCUCCAACUGAGUCAUCGGUCCAUAGAACAGCAGACCGUCUUCCUUUAUCAUCUAUUGGGUCCAAGGGUUUUGGGAUGAGAUAGGAGAGAAGAAAAGGGAGAGAUACACACAAUACAAACAAUAGUUUUGAAGAAAACAUGUUUUAUUUUGUGGCGGUCAGAAAAACAUCAAACAAAUGACAACUCACAAAUCGUCGCAUCUAACGUAAGUAUAUAACAAACAAAUAAAUUGCAAAAUAACAAGGGACACCAAAUAAAACCAACAAAUAAAUUGCAAAAUAACAAGGGACACCAAAUAAGAACAAAGGAAAAACUACAACAAAACUACUAAAGAAACUCUAAGACAUAACACAAAACAGUUUUGUCCUAAGCAAAACUUAACAAAGAAAAUACUAAACUAAUAAUUUUAACAUAGCAUUCCAAAAUUUAGAAUUUUGGGAUGUUACAAACGUACCACACUUAAAAUGAAUCUCGUCCUCGAGAUUCAAAGAGGCUAGCAAGAAAAGGUUUGGAUUUGGGGGUCUUCUAGCUAAUCCAUCAACCGGAGAGGUCUGGGGUGCUACAACACUUAGAAGCAUGCUUACGGUCCCAACAAAACUCGUGUACUCCAUUCCUUUGGGUUGUUGGUGUCGGUCUUCUUAUAUUCUCCGGGAUAACUCCUACACUGGGGCUCUUCUAGUAGGGCAUAACCUUUUCCUCAAACUCGUGUCCUUUCCUCCUAGUGAGGUUCUUCCGAUACUGGGUCUUCUUAGCAGACAAUUAUGUCGCCAAUACUAAAUAACUAUCGAGAUCUCAUGGUGGUCAACCAUUACAGGUUUCUUCUGCAGGAAAAAUGGUUUGGGUUGAGUCUCACCGUAUAUCCUACGAUUGGCAACAGUUGCGUAUACAGGGGUCCAUCGUUCUACCAUUCUAUGGUUUCAACAAGGUUUUGACAUCGUCGUCUCUCUACUAUGGGUAAGUCACUUAGAUUUACCAUCCAAAUAGCAAGAGCGAAUGACCAGAGUAAGUCGGUAUGGUGAUCAAUCCAUUCCGCACCCAAAUCAUUACUCUGUAUAAGGUUUGGCGAAUCUCGCAUUUCUAACACUCGGGAAUUCUCACAAGCAUUGCAGAAUUUCUCUUGUCGACGAACUUAGUUCAGAAAAUUCCAUUGAUUUUGUAAGCUGAACAAAACAUCUAUCGUUACUUCACCACUAUCAGGUUUUCGUGUCCUCCUAAGGAACGUCUACUGUUCAAAUCUCAAUUUAUUCCCAAAAUUUCUUCUUCCAGUGGGUACUUGAUCCUUAUUAAUUCCUGGGCUUGUGGGUUAUGGCCCACUUCAACACUUGUACCACUUUAACUCAUCCUUGGAGUAACUCUUGUUCCAUAUUACACCUCCUUUAAAUCCAAUAGUACUCCGUUUCUUCAUAACCAUCAUAUCAAAAGCAAGACUCCAACUUCUUUUUGUCCGAACUCCAGUCUGGGGAAUAUAUUUUCCUAUCCAUUGGUCUAGUGUUCUUCAGAGGGUACUACCACCCUUAAAUGAAAUUCACAAAUCCAUCCAUAGACCAUAUUUCUCAUAUCCUCGAAACUGGUACAAAAUCUUUGUUCAUAGAGUAAAAACUCACAUAAUACAACAUAUGAAAUCAUAACACACUAACUUUAUUGAUUUCAUGAUUCAUGAAUUCUUUACAAUCUCUAAGCUUCGAUUACAUAACUCAACUCAUUGUACUCAUGAAAAAAAUUGCUUUCUAGCACUCUUAUUAUCCAUAUCAAAAUCUCAACUACCCAGCUCCAGCUUUCUUCUGAUCUGAACAUUCCCUAGCAAAAUGUCCGGCUUCCUUGCAACGAAAACAAAUAACUUCCGGCAUGUCUCGAGGCUUCUUGGUGAUGGUGCCUGCUCCUUGAGUUCCUUGCUUCCUUUCGAGACAAUCAUUGGCAUAAUGCCCGACGUCCUUACAUUCAAAACAGGUAAUAUGACUCUUGUCCCUCUUUGUAGAAAUUGGGUUGUUCUGAGGGUGUCUUUGUUUUCUCUUCCUGGUUUUCUUCAUUCUGAUCAAACGCUCUAUUCCCUGUGGAUCAAACUCCACUUCUUCCGUCAGGAAGUAUCCCAGAUACUCUUUUAUUUCCUUGGUGCAAUACUGUGAAAAAUGUCCUUCUUCUCCACAUGAAUAAAAAGCAUUGGAGUAAAAUAUGUUGAGGCUUUCUCCAUCAGGGUCUUCAACAUCUUCCUGCAUUACAGAUUCUUCUAAACUUUCCCUGAGGACUUCUUUCAUGGCUUCCUUCAGCUGCUUGGUAAUUUCGUGUACCUUGGGGUAAAUUUGGCACUGAGCCGGGAAAUGAGUAGCUCCUUCACACAGGAAACAAGUAACCUGCCCAAUCAGGCAUUCUUCAGCUGCGUGAUUUCCUUCACAAUGAGGGCAUCCAUCCUUGUGUUCUUCAUUGGUGUGCCCUAUUUCCCCGCAAAUCUUGCAGGCACAAUGUUUCUUCUUCGGGUUAUCAUAGUGCUUCCGAAUAAGACGGGAUCUCAACAGAGUCUUCUUGAAUUCUUCCCAAGUUUUUGCUCUGUUGCAUCCUUGUAUGGCUUGAUGCAUUUUCCACCAGGUUCCAGCACUCUCGGUAAAAUAUUGAAGAGCAUAUUGAACCUCAUACUUCCUUGCAAUCAAAUUUUUCCUGAGGUGAUCCUCCAUGUUUUGAAUCCAAAGCUCUGUCUCCAACUGAGUCAUCGGUCCAUAGAAUAGCAGACCGUCUUCCUUUAUCAUCUAUUGGGUCCAAGGGUUUUGGGAUGAUAUAGGAGAGAAGAAAAGGGAGAGAUACACACAAUACAAACAAUAGUUUUGAAGAAAACAUGUUUUAUUUUGUGGCGGUCAGAAAAACAUCAAACAAAUGACAACUCACAAAUCGUCGCAUCUAACGUAAGUAUAUAAAAGGGGUUUUGUCUUCUAAAGGUCAAAUAAAUCUUCGGAGUUUUCCAAAGUCUUCAGAGUCUUGUAUUGUUGCAGCUGCACUUCUUCCAACGCAUGGAGAAAUCCUCUUUAGACUGAAAUGACCAUCAGUUGUCCGAUAUCUUGUACUUCUUGGAGCGGCUGCAGUUGAUCCUCCGCGUGGUCAAAAGGGAAAGGGGUAUAUUCUAACUGUUUGAGAUAAGAGGGGAUAUUUGAUAAAAUCAGAAAAGAUGAGAAGUAAUGGACUACUUUAAAAAGAAGUUUUAGAGAUUUCCUAUCCUAGGGGCUUUCCGAUUUCUAGGGUCACGUCCUAUAGUCAACAUGUGCUCUGAUACCAUAUCUGUAGCGACCCGACCUCAGACGGUCAAGUCUCUGUGUAUCUGUGCCAUCCCUGGAUCAGUAUGCUGGCACACACAGUACAUCAAUGUAUAUAUCAAAGUGCAAUCACAUGUAUAAAUAACAUAAAACUGAUAUAUACCUUGUAAGUCUCAGAAGAAACAAACAAUCGGGUGUGGAGUCCCAUCAACGCCAUCGGCAAGUUGAGUGUAGACCGUAACCCUGUAUCGUACUCUUACUCGUCGGAAGAACAAUAUCUGCAACAUGAAACGUUGCAGCCGUGUUGGUCAGUACAUUGAAUGUACCAGCAAGAUCACUGUAAGAAAAACAGAUAAUAAACUAUACUAUAUGCAAUAUGCCUUUGUAGCUCUGGGUCUAAGUUUUGUUUGCUUAAAAGCUGAAUUUCAUUUUCCCUACAACAAAGGAAUAACAGGAGCCUGUACUACAGAGUUUUCUAUCAUGACAUGGUUCCGCCAACCGAUGUCUCAUAGCCCAAAUCAUCAUAAGUUGCCCACAAUUAUGUUAUCAGUCCGGUGUUGAGAGUUCCGAGAUAGAUCCAAGUCCAGAGGCUCAAGUUGUCCGUAACCGGGGACACGGCUAAUCGAUUAGGUUUUAACCCUCUGCAAAGGUUUAUACACUUUACCCGCAAGAUUCGAUCCCUCUUUUUACGUUCUCGCACUUCAGGGUGUUUGAGAACAAGAUGAUCGAAACAUGGUCUUCUGAAGAGUCCCUCUGACCACUGUCCGGUGCUCAUCCAAUCCUACCGUAGUUCUACAUCUGCUAGCAACGUCCCAGCCUGAGUCAUGACUAAGGUCAACCAAGCCAGAGCCCAUAGUGACUUGCGGUUACACUGGUAAGCUUCCGGGCAUGAAGUAUUCUUCCGUCUCUUUGAGUCUGGGUGAAGCUUUCCGCAAGAUGUCAUGCCGCUUCUCCAUGCAUCCCGGCCAUCCGCUGGUUUCUCCAGGGUGCCCGUCAACCAUCCUUCAACCAGUACUGUGUAUUGAAUUCUUGUCUCGAGUCUCGAAAUCUUGAGGUCUUGUCCUGAAGAUGCAGUCCUUGCCGAUGCCAUCAUGAACUUGUCGCCAUUGACGUAGAUUCCUUCAUUCUCACACCACUCCCGAGCACUCAUACCAAUCCCAUCUACUAUAGCGUAGCAUUAAAACUAUGUAACAUCCCGGGCUUGGUAACAGGGAGAUGGGUUCCUACCUCAUGCAUUCUACUCAACUACAAGAUUCAAUAACACUACUGGAGGGAUUAUGAAUGGUGAAACUAGAUGCAAUAAAAACAUAAGUAUGGAUAACAUGGUCAAAGUGAACUUGCCUGGUAUUACUUGAUGAAGAUAAUUGCACUCAAAUAAAGACUUGGUACAACUAUUCGUCACUCCGUUGAAAAUCUAUAUAGUCAAACAUAGCAUUCAUAUAAGCAAACAUACUAGCAACAAAUUCUAACACUCAUAAUAAAACCAACACAUAAAUUGCAAAAUAAGAAGGGACACCAAAUAAGAACAAAGGAAAAACUACAAAAAAAACUACUAAAGAAACUCUAAGACAUAACACAAAAUAGCUUUGUCAUAAGCAAAACUUAACAAAGAAAAUACUAAACUAAUAAUUUUAACACAAAAAAAUAAAAUUUAAAACAACUAAGUUAACAUAAAGUAUUUUUCGUAAAGUUUUACUAGCAAAAGGAAACACAUAAAAAGCUAAAUUAAAACUCUAAUUAUGCUUAAAACAAAACUAGUAAGAAAAGAAAAAAAACAUUUUUUCUGUAAAUAAAAUUUCACCCUCUAAUACUACAGAAACAAAUCUGAACUAAAAUAUAAUAGAGGUGAAUUUUUUUUAAACAUAAUUAAAACAGCAAAAACAUCAGCAAGCUAACGAAACUAGAAAAGCUUGUUUUCGAGUAAAACCAUUUUAAAUAAAAACUAUAAGUACCCAAGUUAAUCCUACUGCUAGUCAAGGUCAAAACAAAGCAGUGACAAAAAGAAUCACUAAAAUAAAUUAAUCCUAACUCACUUUAUAGCAGAAAUACUAAUCUAACUAAAACUAAUAUAAAACAAUUUUUAAAAACUAAAACAUGACCGAAUCUAUUUUUCUACAGAAACUACAAGAAAUUUGUAAACUAACAAAAAAAGAAUCAACUAAAAAUAUUAAACAACCUAAAAGAUAUAGACUUUACAAGAACAGAACUAUUCUAUUUUAAAAAUAGAAACUAAAAAAAUAACAAAAAACAAGCGCUACUGGGCCUAUCUAACGCUCAGGCGAACACUAACUAAAAUGCGCCCGCAGCUAAACAGAAUAACCGACCGGUUCGAUCAAUAAAAACAAACCGUAACUGAAGCAAAAAAAGACAGAACUAAAACAAAUGUAAACAAAUAAACCUAUCCCUUCAUGUGAUCUAAUCUAGGCCGUUCAUGCGCGAUCCAACGGUGGUGGGGGUUCCGGCGGCUUACAGCGACUCAACGGCGACGAAGGACGACGGCGGCUCGGGCGGCGACGGCGCAGCGGCUCCGGUGGUCCGGGGCGACGACGGUGACGUCGGGGAGAUGCGGCGGAGUGAGGCGAGGUCGAGGGUGGCGGUUGCUGCGGUCGGGGACGACGGAGACGAGUGGAACGAGCUCGGCGGGGCUCUUGGUGCUCUGCAACUCCGGCGACGGGCGGUGAUGCUCAAGGCGGCGACUUCGGCGAUCCCUGGGCGGAGAGAGGAUGUCAAAGAGGUGCGGGAGGAGGUGGCGGUUCGGGUGAUGAUGCUGGGAGGGCAGAGAGUGCUCACCGGCGUCGGGAGUGGCGGCGAACCGAGGCGACGGCGGCGAGAUGCAUUCGUCGAGGGCGUGGGUGGUGGUGGGUUUAGGGGUUAGGGUUUUAGGGGGAUCGAGAGAGGAGGCCGAGGGGUUUAUAUAGGGCAAGGUCUUGGAGGAGGGGGCGGCGCGGGAUCGCGAUCCCGAGAAGAUCGCGGUCUCGGGAGGCGGUGGUCGCGCUCUGGUGCGGCAUGGCAUGGGCGAGGGGUAAGAGAUGAGGGCGGGCCCCGCCAUCAGUAAGAGAGGGAGAGGAGGGUUCGGUCGGGCGACCGAAGCGGAGACGGCUCGGGCAUGCUUGCGGCUGGGCUGCGGCUCGGCUCGCUGCUUGGCCGCGUCGGGUGGCUGACUGGGCCGCAUUGGGUGGCUAGCUGGGCCGGUUGGCCUGGCCAGCUCGAGGGUUUCUUUUCCUUUUUUUUGAAAAUCACAGAGAGAGAAAACUAAAUAUAGAGAAAACUAUAGUAUUUUUAUAUACGACAUAUAUAUAUAUCUAAAAACUCUGAAAAAUAAAUCCUACACGUGUACAUUUUUUCAGAGGCAAAAUGCAAACUUAAGGAAAAACAUUUUUUUUAUAAAUUCCAAAUAAACUCCAAUUUGAAUUCAAAAACUUUUGGCAUUAAUUUCUCCUGACUUUUUGGAGUGUCAUGUUAGCUCCUCUCAUACUUUUAAACAAGUAUUUCUCAGGGGUAUAUGAAAUAAAUUUUGAAUGCCAAGUUGAAUCCAAAUUCAAAUAAAAUUCAAAUGCCUUUGAAAUUUCCAAAUGCCACUCAAUUUCACACAAUCAGUUACACAACAUUCAGACAAACAAUCAUAAAUAUUUAUUUAACGUAGCAUUCCAAAAUUUUGAAUUUUGGGAUGUUACACUAUGACACCCGAUCAUCACGUGGUGUCUCAACACGAAGAACUUUCGCAACGGUGCAUACUCAGGGAGAACACUUUUAUCUUGAAAUUUUGUGAGAGAUCAUCUUAUAAUGCUACCGUCAAUCAAAGCAAGAUAAGAUGCAUAAAAGAUAAACAUCACAUGCACUCAAUAUAAGUGAUAUGAUAUGGCCAUCAUCAUCUUGUGCUUGUGAUCUCCAUCUCCGAAACACCGUCAUGAUCACCAUCGUCACCGGCGCGACACCUUGAUCUCCAUCGUAGCAUCGUUGUCGUCUAGCCAACUUAUGCUUCUACGACUAUCGCUACCGCUUAGUAAUGAAGUAAAGCAUUACAGGACGAUUGCAUUGCAUACAAUAAAGAGACAACCAUAUGGCUCCUGCCAGUUGCCGAUAACUCGGUUACAAAAUAUGAUCAUCUCAUACAAUAAAAUUUAGCAUCAUGCCUUGUUGUCGCAAGUUUUACGUGGCUCUACUUUGUUGUUGCAAGUUAGACGUCCUCUACUUUGUUGUUGCAAGUUUUACGUGGCUGCUACGGGCUGAGCAAGAACCGUUCUUACCUACGCAUCAAAACCACAACGAUAGUUCGUCAAGUUAGUGUUGUUUUAACCUUUUCAAGGACCGGGCGUAGCCACACUCGGUUCAGCUUAAGUUGCAGAAACUGACACCCGCCAGCCACCUGUGUGCAAAGCACGUCGGUAGAACCAGUGUCGCGUAAGCGUACGCGUAAUGUCGGUCCGGGCCGCUUCAUCCAACAAUACCGCCGAACCAAAGUAUGACAUGUUGGUAAGCAAUAUGACUUGUAUCGCCCACAACUCACUUGUCUUCUACUCAUGCAUAUAACAUCUACGCAUAAAACCAGGCUUGGAUGCCACUGUUGGAGAAUGUAGUAAUUUUAAAUUUUUCCUACGCACACACAGGAUCAUGGUGAUGCAUAGCAACGAGAGGGGAGAGUGCUAUCCACGUACCCUCGUAGACCGAAAGCAGAAGUGUUAGCACAACGCGGUUAAUGUAGUCAUACGUCUUCACGAUCCGACCGAUCCAAGUACCGAACGCACGGCACCUCCGAGUUCAGCACACGUUCGGCUCGAUGACGUCCCACGAACUCUGAUCCAGCAGAGCUUCGAGGGAGAGUUCCGUCAACACGACGGCGUGAUGACGGUGAUGAUGAUGCUACCGAUGCAGGGCUUCACCGAAGCACCGCUACGAUAUGAUCGAGGUGGAUUAUGGUGGAGGGGGCAUCGCACACGGCUGGGAGAGAUCAACAGAUCAACUUGUGUGUCUAGAGGUGCCCCCCUGCCCCCGUAUAUAAAGGAGGGAGGGAAAGGCCGGCCCUAGAGGAGGUGCGCCAAGUGUGGGGAGUCCUACUAGGACUCCCAAGUCCUAGUAGGAUUCCCCUUUCCUUUCCGGAGUAGGAGAGAAGGAAAGAGGGGGAGAGGGAGAAGGAAAAAGGGGGCUGCACCCCUUGUCCAAUUCGGACCAGAGGGGGGGCGCGCACCUCCUUCCUUUUGGCCUCUCUCCUCUUUCCCGUAUGGCCCAAUAAGGCCCAAUACUUCUCCCGGUGAAUUCCCGUAACUCCCCGGUACUCCAAAAAUAUCCGAAUCAUUUGGAACCUUUCCGAUGUCCGAAUAUAGUUGUCCAAUAUAUUGAUCCUUACGUCUCGACUAUUUCGAGACUCCUCGUCAUGUCCCCAAUCUCAUUCGGGACUCCGAACUACCUUCGGUACAUCAAAUCACAUAAACUCAUAAUACAAUCGUCACUGAAACUUUAAGCGUGCGGACCCUACGGGUUUGAGAACUAUGUAGACAUGACCGAGACACGUCUCCGUCCAAUAACCAAUAGCGGAACCUGGAUGCUCAUAUUGGCUCCCACAUAUUCUACGAAGAUCUUUAUCGGUCAAACCGCAUAACAACAUACGUUGUUCCCUUUGUCAUCGGUAUGUUACUUGCCCGAGAUUCGAUCGUCGGUAUCUCAAUACCUAGUUCAAUCUCGUUACUGGCAAGUCUCUUUACUCGUUCCGUAAUACAUCAUCUCGCAACUAACUCAUUAGUCACAUUGCUUGCAAGGCUUAUGGUGAUGUGCAUUACCGAGAGGGCCCAGAGAUACCUCUCCGACAAUCGGAGUGACAAAUCCUAAUCUCGAAAUACGCCAACCCAACAAGUACCUUUGGAGACACCUAUAGAGCACCUUUAUAAUCACCCAGUUAUGUUGUGACGUUUGGUAGAACACAAAGUGUUCCUCCGGUAAACGGGAGUUGCAUAAUCUCAUAGUUAUCGGAACAUGUAUAAGUCAUGAAGAAAGCAAUAGCAGAAUACUAAACGAUCAAGUGCUAAGCUAACGGAAUGGGUCAAGUCAAUCACAUCAUUCUCCUAAUGAUGUGAUCCCGUUAAUCAAAUUACAACUCAUGUCUAUGGUUAGGAAACUUAAGCAUCUUUGAUUAACGAGCUAGUCAAGUAGAGGCAUACUAGUGACACUAUGUUUGUCUAUGUAUUCACACAUGUAUUAUGUUUCCGGUUAAUACAAUUCUAGCAUGAAUAAUAAACAUUUAUCAUGAAAUAAGGAAAUAAAUAAUAACUUUAUUAUUGCCUCUAGGGCAUAUUUCCUUCAAUUAUAAACUCACAAAAGGUAGUAGAAAGCAUGUAUGUAAACCUUUGUAUGAAAAUACACUAGUACAGAAAUGGCUAGCCACAACUUUUGUUUGUGGUGCGCAAUAUCCAACAAGCACCACCACUAUUUUUUUCCAAAUAGUGGCAGGGUUGGCAAAUUUGGUAGGACAUGAUAUACCCUUAGUGUUGGCGUUGAACUAUUUUAGCACGACAUUAAUGUUUUCUGAGUUUUUUUGAACUAUACUUUGCUAUGGCAUGGCCUAUUAGGACCAUGCUGGUGAUGGCCUACUAGUAUAGGGGAUCAAUAAUAGUCCUUUCGAUAAGUAAGAGCGUCGAACCCAAUGAGAAGCAGAAGGAAAUGAUAAGUGGUUUUUAGAAAGGUAUUUUCUGCAAGUGUCGUAAGUAGUAAUAACAGAUAGUUUUGUAGAAAUAUAAUUUGUAAUAAGUAACAAGUAACAAUAGUAACAAGAGUGCAGCAAGGUGGGACAAUUCUUCUUAUAUCAAAAUACAAGCCGAAAGUUCUUGUAAUGAGCAAAGCAAAUCACUCUUAAGGACACAUGGGAAGUCUCGUCUAGUCACGUUCAUUAUGUUUAGUUGAUUCGCAUUCACAACUUUGAUAAUUUCAUAUGUUGGUGGACCGGUGCUAGGGUGUUGUUCUUACUUGAACAAGCAACCCACUUGCGAUUACCCCCUCUCGCAAGCAUCCACAACUAUUAUUAUUAGUCAUAAAAAAGAUUAUAGGAUCAUAGUAGGUGCUAAAGAAUAAAUAUAGCAUAGGAGAGCAGCAACAAUAUCGAAUCUAUAUAUAAAGGACUUUGAAUCUCUUGUUCCACGCAGAAAAAAGGGCAUGAAGUAACAGCGAUAGAUUGCAUUGACUGAAAGAUAAAUUAUCAGACCAAAACAUGAAGUAAUUAGAUUAUUUCAUCCUUUUGAAAUUUGAAAGUGUAUACUGCAUGCAUCAAAUUCUAUUAUCUCAUAAAAAUAUGGCAAUUAAAGAGUGGCAGCUAGGUAGUAGUAACCAUCUAUUUUAUGACGUGGAUCAAAGAGAAUCAAUCAUUAGUUGCUCAUGUGAGAAGUAAUAGAACCAGGAGACUAACCUUAGAGGUGUGUUUGCUGGGAACAUAGUAGGCAUUAAAGUAAAAUAGCAUAGCAGUUUGUGGCCUGCGGCAAAUAUGUAAGAAAGAGUGGAAAUAAUGUCAGGCCAAUUAUUUUCCACAGGUAGCGUGCGCUCCAUUAAUCAUAACAUGAGCCAAUCCUUGUAAAUACAAAAUAUCAGGGAGCGCAUGCUGCAUGAGUUCAACACCAGCUUUGAUGCCUUAUGUACCGGGAUUGAGGGAGUAGUGGUAGUCUCUCUUGCACAAAAUCAAUUGAGGGGACAAAUUCCUUGCCAUGUUUGGCAAUUGCCUGCUACUUCUUGAGCUUGCGUUGGUUUUUCCCUUGAAGAGCAAAGGGUGAUGCAGAAAAGUAGAGAUAAGUAUUUUCCUCGGUUAAGAACCAAGGUAUCAAUCCAGUGGGAGAAGAACGCGCAAAUCACCAAUACCUGCAAAAACAAUCAAACACUUGCACCCAACGCGAUAAAUGGGUUGUCAAUCCCUUCACAGUCACUUGAAAAAGUGAGAUCUAAAAGCAAAAGAUUGCAAAAUAGUAGAUAGGAAACUAAUAUGAUGGAAAAUAGACCCGGGGGCCAUAGGUUUCACUAGAGGCUUCUCCCAUGAAGGCAAAUAAUACGGUGGGUGAAAUAAUUACUAUCGCGGACUGAUAGAAAAGCAAAAAAAUUAUGACGAUAUCCAAGGCAAUGAUUAUGUAAUAUAGGCAUCACGUCCGUAUCAAGUAGACCGACUCCUGCCUUCAUCUACUACUAUUACUCCACACAUUGACAUACUCCUUCCUGCAUCUAGAGUAUUAAGUUCAUAAAGAACAGAGUAACGCAUUAAGUAAGAUGACAUGAUAUAGAGGAAUAAACUCAAGCAAUAUGAUGUAAACCCCAUCUUUUUAGACUCGAUGGCAACAAUACAAUAUGUGCCUCGCUACCCCUACUUUGUCACUGGCUGAGGACACCGCAAGAUUGAACCCAAAGCCAAGUGCUACCUCUUGAGCACUGCGUUGGAUUUCCUUGAAGAGGAAAGGGUGAUGCAGCAGAGUAGAGUAAGUAUUUCCCUCAGUUUUUGAGAACCAAGGUAUCAAUCCAGUAGGAGGCUACGUGCGAGUCCCUCGUACCUACACAAAACAAAUAGCUCAAUGCAACCAACGCGAUUAGGGGUUGUCAAUCCCUUCACGGUCACUUACGAGAGUGAGAUAUGAUUGAGAUGAUAGAUAAUAUUUUUGGUAUUUUUGAUAUAAAGAUGCAAAGUAAAAUAAAAGGCAAAGUAAAAAAGCAAAACAAUAAUAAAGUGAUGGAGAUUGAUAUGAUGAGAAUAGACCCGGGGCCAUAGAUUUCACUAGUGGCUUCUCUCAAGAGCAUAAGUAUUCUACGGUGGGUGAACAAAUUACUGUUGAGCAAUUGACAGAAUUGAGCAUAGUUGUGAGAAUAUCUAGGUAUGAUCAUGUAUAUAUGCAUCACGUCCGAGACAAGUAGACCGACUCCUACCUGCAUCUACUACUAUUACUCCACUCAUCUACCGCUAUCCAGCAUGCAUCUAGAGUAUUAAGUUCAAGAAAACAGAGUAACGCCUUAAGCAAGAUGACAUGAUGUAGAGGAAUAAAUUCAUGCAAUAUGAUAAAUACCCCAUCUUGUUAUCCUCGAUGGCAACAAUACAAUACGUGCCUUGCUGCCCCUACUGUCAUUGGGAAAGGACACCGCAAGAUUGAACCCAAAGCUAAGCACUUCUCCCAUUGCAAGAAAAACCAAUCUAGUAGGCCAAACCAAACUGAUAAUUCGAAGAGACUUGCAAAGAUAACCAAUCAUACAUAAAAGAAUUCAGAGAAGAUUCAAAUAUUGUUCAUAGAUAGACUUGACCAUAACCCACAAUUCAUCGGUCUCAACAAACACAUCGCAAAAAGAAGAUUACAUCGAAUAGAUCUCCACGAGAGAGGGGGAGAACAUUGUAUUGAGAUCCAAAAAGAGAGAAGAAGCCAUCUAGCUACUAACUAUGGACCCGAAGGUCUGAGGUAAACUACUCACACUUCAUCGGAGGGGCUAUGGUGAUGAUGUAGAAGCCCUUCAUGGUGGAUUCAUCUUCCGGCGGAGCUCCGGAACAGGCCCGAAGAUGGGAUCUCGUGGGUACAGAAGGUUGCGGCAGUGGAAUUAGGUUUUUGGCUCCGUAUCUGAUUGUUUGGGGGUAUGUAGGUAUAUAUAGGAGGAAGGAGUACGUUGAUGGAGCAAAGGGGGGCCCACGAGGCAGGGGGCGCGCCCUAGGGGGGCGCCCUCCACCCUCGUGACCACCUCCCUCCUUUCUGGAUGGAGGGUCCAAGUCUCCUGGAUCAUAUUUGUUGAGAAAAUCACGUUCCCGAAGAUUUCAUUCCGUUUGGACUCCGUUUGAUAUUCCGAUUCUUCGAAACACUGAAAUACGCAAAAAACAGCAAUUCUGGGUUGGGCCUCCGGUUAAUAGGUUAGUCCCAAAAGUAAUAUAAAAGUGGAAAAUAAAGCCCAGUAUGGUCCAAAACAGUAGAUAAUAUAGCAUGGAGCAAUCAAAAAUUAUAGAUACGUUGGAGACGUAUCACCAAGCACUUCUCUCAUUGCAAGAAAAACCAAUCUAGUUGGCCAAACCAAACCAAUAAUUCGAAGAGAAUUACAAGGAUAUCAAAUCAUGCAUAUAAGAAUUCAGAGAAGAUUCAAAUAAUAUGCAUAGAUAAGCUGAUCAUAAAUCCACAAUUCAUCGGAUAUCGACAAACACACCACAAAAGAAGAUUACAUCGGAUAGAUCUCCAAGAACAUCGAGGAGAACAUGGUAUUGAGAAUCAAAUAGAGAUAAGAAGUCAUCUAGCUACUAGCUAUGGACCCGUAGGUCUAUGGUAAACUACUCACGCUUCAUCGGAAGGGCAAUAGAGUUGAUGUAGAUGCCCUCCGUGAUCAAAUCCCCCUCCAACAGGAUGCCGGAAAAGGCCCAAAGAUGGGAUCUCAUGGGAACAGAAGGUUGUGGAGGUGGAAAAGUGUUUUCGUUGAUGCUUCUGAAGGUUUCGGAAUAUUUGUGAAUUUAUAGGAUGAAGAAGUAGGUUGGUGGAUUCACGAGGGGCCCACAAGGUAGGGGGGCGCGCCCACCCCCCUAGGGCUCGCCCUCCACCCUUGCCGCCGCCUCGUGGCUCUUCUGACUUGCACUCCAAGUCCCUUGGAUGUCUUCUGGUCCAAGAAAAAUCAUCGUAAAGUUUCAUUCCGUUUAAACUCUGUUUGAUAUUCCUUUUCUGCGAAACUCAAAACAAGGAAAAAACAGAAACUGGCACUGGGCCCUAGGUUAAUAGGUUAGUCCCAAAAAUAAUAUAAAAUAGCAUAUUAAAGCAUAUAAAACAUGCAAACAGAUAAUAUAAUAGCAUGGAACAAUCAAAAAUUAUAGAUACGUUGGAGACAUAUCAAGCAUCCCCGAGCUUAAUUCCUGCUCGUCCUCGAGUAGGUAAAUGAUAAAAACAGAAUUUUUGAUGUGGAAUGCUACCUAACAUAUUUAUCCAUGUAAUUUUCUUUAUUGUGGCAUGAAUGUUCAGAUCCACAAGAUUCAAAACAAAAGCUUAUUGACAUAAAAACAAUAAUACGUCAAGCAUACUAAUAAAGCAAUCAUGUCUUCUCAAAAUAACAUGGCCAAAGAAAGUUAUCCCUACAAAAUCAUAUAAUCUGGCUAUGCUCCAUCUUCAUCACACAAAGUAUUAAAUCAUGCACAACCCCGGUAUUAGUCAAGCAAUUGUUUCACACUUUAGUAUUCUCAAA
rnacentral:lncRNA from 1 species